rnacentral:lncRNA from 1 species
CCUUUAGGUGGAAAGAUAUGUUUAUCUUGAAGAGUUGCAACUUUUGACUCUUCAUGAAUGGUCACAUGUUUUUCAAAGAGGUAUCUCAAAUUCUAUAAAUAGGGAAGCCCCCUAUAAUUAUUUAACAUCUUUUACAUUCACAUAUUCAUACACUUAGUGCACUACUGUUAGAGAGUUUUGUAGUGUCAUAUUCAGUUCAUAUGAGAUAAUAUUCAACACAAUCGUGGUUUAUUGGAGUCUUAUGAUUUGGAGUGCUACUAUUAUAAGGAUAUGGUCGUUGUAUCUUAGAAGACAAGCGUCGUUCAACCAUAAGCACCGUAUUGGGGUAUAAACUUGUCUUAAAGGACAAAGUGUCCAACACUUGCCUCGACCAUAUUGAAGGUUUUUCUAAUCCAUUAUGUUAUGUUCAUUUAACAUUGGUUACUCAUGUGCAUUACUUUGAUAUAUAAUUGCAUGAAUUAUUUCUUGAUUUUUUAUGUGAUUUAAUAUAACAAUUAAACCCUAAUUUUUUCCAGCAAAGUUCUCAUUCAAGAUUUGUCUCUAUCAAAGUGAUUCAAAUUCAUAAUUUUUUUAUCAUCUAAAAUGUGAAAAUAAUGUUUGAUUUAGAAAAAAUUGAAAUGAAAAUACGGAUAAAAGCAGCAAAAAUUAUCAAUUUACAUCUUUUUUUUUUAACAAACAAUAUUAUUUACACUAAACGGGAGGAGUGGGCUAUUAGCCUCAUAAUAGGCUAGCAUAAGGUGGUUCAAAUUUGCCCUUGGCAAAAAUCGAACCUAAGACCUCUCACUUACAAGUGAAGAUGAAUACUACUAGAUCGUAGUAUUAAGUGGCAAGUUGUGGACAUUGUAAUUGUAGAAAGCUUGUCAUGAGCAAUAUGUAUAUGCACCUCUAAGGUAUAUAUUUAUCUACAUCCACUUAGCUAAUAAAUAAAUAAAUAAAUAAAUCAUAUACUAUACUCUUCGCUAGAUCAAGGCCUAAGUUUGAGUUCCAUUGCCGACAAUUCCUCUUGGUGGGCGAUCUGUAAAAAUCAAAAGAAGGGCUAAGACCCUGUAAGUCUUAAAAAAGACUUGUGGUAUGCCUUGGUCUUGGGAUGGAGUAGCCUCCCCUCCCCCUAAACUUUUUUUUUUUUUUUUUUUUAAGUUAAGGAGAUGAAAGAGAUACAAAUAUGGAGUGCGAGGAGAAAGUAAGUGGAGUGGCGGAUGUAUAAAUUUUCUUGUUGGGAGGCAAGAGCCAAACCCCACACCAAUUUUCCCCUUCAUGCGCAUUGUUCACUAUCCUUUUUUUUAGUAUACUGGGAACAUGAUUCAGUACAUCAAGAGUCAUAAUAUAUUUGGUUAGAUAUUUUUUUAAAGUUUCCAACCAAUUGUAUUAAUAUACUUGGUAUGCCAUGCCGCAUUUCCGACGCACUAAAAAAUAUCUCACAAAGACAACUUGGCCCUCUCAAAUAAAAGAUAAUGUUAGGAAAAUCAAAAUUUUAAACUAAAUUGUAAAGUAAAUGACGUGGCAUCAAUAAAAAAUACACGUUAAUCAAAUCAUCAAUCAUCACAUCAUUUAGUUUACUUUAAAAUUUAAAUAUCCUUAACAUUUCUCAUAAAAAAAAUCUUCUAUAUAAAAUUCGAAACAUCGUAAAUAGCAAAACACACGAAUAGGGGCAAUAGCCUUAGGCCAUCUCUAACCGAGGACUGGCCAGAGGGCUCGUUUUAGCCCUCUGGCCCUCCAAGAUUCUCCAAGAUAUUAAUAUUUUAAUGAACAGUACAGGGUCAUAUUUGCCUCCGUCUCCAACCGAGGGCCAAAGGGCCAGAGGGCUCGUUUUAGCCCUGUCAUAAAAAACCGUCUCCAACCGAGGGCCAAACAUAAUUUAUUAUUUAAAAACUACAACUAAAAUGUUGUUUAAUGUUGUUUCAUAUUGUUUAAUGUUGUUUCAUGUUACUUAAUUUAAUUUAAUGUUGUAUAAUGGCUUAGGAAGUUAUAGGAAAAAAAAAUAGAAUUUAAAAAAAAUAUGAAACAAAUUUUGUCAAAUAGAAGUUCUAGGAAAAAAAUGGAAUUUAAAAAAAAUAUGAAACAAAUUUUGUGAAAUAGAAGUUAUAGGAAAAAAAUGGAAUUUAAAAAAAAUAUGAAAUAAAUUUUGUGAAAUAGAAGUUAUAGAAAAAAAAUGGAAUUUAAAAAAAAUAAUAAUAAUGUAAAAAAAAAAAUCAAAUCAAAUGCAACGGCUAGUAGCCGUUUCAUUUGAAUUUUUUUUUAAAACAAUCAUGUCGGUUAUAACCAUGGAAGAAAAUAUCGAUAAUAUCGGCGAAAUAUCGCCGAUAUUAUCGGUUUUUCAGGUAAUGGAUAUUUAAAUAGGUAUCCAAAUGGUUUUCGGUAUAAUAUCGCGAUAUUUUGGAAAUAUCGCGAUAUUUUUUUAACCGUGCUACUCGGAGAAGAACGCCGGAGCUUCUACAGCUCCGGCCGACCACAAACAAGGGUUCUAGACCCCGAUCUAGGUAUCAAACAAAAGCACGAGACGAGAGGAGUGCGUUUAUACCUUCCAUUUGCCGUGAAACGACCCGUGGUGGUCGGAAAACCUCUCGACACCCACGGUCUCACCGGAGAUGGGUGCGCCUAUUCCCGGGCUGAUUCCGUGCUAAAUCCUUGGUAAAAAGGACAGAAUAACCUCAAUAAUCACAUCCAAGCAACAAACCAACACGGAAAGAGAGGUUCGAGGCUUACCUAACCAUAACCCAUGAAGAACUCGCCGGAGGUUCUUGGGGUUUCGUCGAGUUGCGCAGCGACGGGAGAGAGAGAAAGAGAGAGAGAGAGACGACGGCGUGUAGAAGGUGAUGACGAUGCCGUCAACGGAGUACCACGAAGGGUGUGCGUGGGUGCUCUCGGGUGUGGGUCAAAGGGUGAAAGAGUGAGGGUCUUCGAGAGAGGGAGAGUGAGUGCAGAGAAGAAAGAAAGAGAAAGAGGUCACGGGGUGGGGAGAGAGAGAGAUACGUGAGGGUGCUAGGGUGCUGCCAUGUGGUAGCUUGAGAGAAUUUGGAAAUCAAGAUGAAUGGUCCAGAUUUGGUUAAGAUAGGGGACUAAAACGAUAAUUUCAUAAUUAUUUGGGGAACCACGAAAAUAUAUAAAAAUUUGGGGUUGGGUUGUUACAGUGUGUCUGUGUGUGUGUGUGUAGAAGUGGGGUGCACUUUGAAGUGUGUGUGUGUAGAAGUGGGGUGUGUGUGUGUUAUCCGAGAGAAGAAAAAAAAACUCCAAACCUGCUUUCAAAAUAUCCAGGCUAUGUGUCAGUCUGUGUGUGUUAUCUGAGAGAAAAAAAAUGCAAUAUAUAAAGUGUAAAAUAUUGUACUAAUUCAUUGUAUAUAAUGAUUGUGGUGUCUUUAAACUUUUUUCAUUAAUUACUACAUAUUUUUUAAACUCACAAUGUUUGCCAGCUCGCUAUAUAAUCAAUUUAAAUCAGUUAAAUCCAUCAUGCAAUGCAUUUCCUUCCAAUUUUUUGUGAUAAACUAAUAGAUAAUUGACUAAAUAAACAUCUUGCAAAGUUUCAAUUAAAAUUUCCAAGUUUUUCUUACAAUUUCCGUGGUUUCCAUGUAAUUUUUAUCGAUAUCGAUAUUUUACCGAUAUUUCCAUCGAUAUUUCCGUGUUUUCGGACUACCAAUAUUUCCGAUAUUACCGAUAUUUAAUACCUUGGUUAUAACCGACAGGAAUACACCAUUAUUUAGUAUAUUAAAUAAUAGCAUGUAUAACCGACAGGAAUAACAAAACUAUAAAAAAAAAAAAUAGCCAGCCAGCCCUUUGGCCCUUUGGCCCUUUGAAAUUCCGUGGGGCCCUCCCAGAUUCCCGAGCCCUCUGGCCUAGCCCUCGGUUGGAGACGGUUUUAGGGCUAUUUUCAGCCCUCUGGCCCUCUGGACCCUUCGGUUAGAGAUGGUCUUAACUCUCCCAUACGCUACCUUUAUGCCUUUUUCUGAUAUUUUUUUUUUUUGGGUGAACGCCUUUUUUCUUGUGUUGGCUAGAAGAUCUUAUACCACGUCAAGCAAACAUCAACACACCGAAGUCAUAUGGAUUCAUGACUUGCAAACUAUGAUCAUAUAUGCAUCUAGGUGCUCCAAAAUACUUAAUUAAGUCACAACUAAUAACUCCUUCCAACCGGCAGCUAAAGCCUUGGAGGAUUGGAUUAAUUAGCAUCUCGUUUACUUAUCAUAUAUCAAUAGUUUUAUAUGACUCUGUUUUCUUAUAUUUUCUUAUACAUCAAUUUAAUUAUGAGAACUUUUAUGAAAAGGUCUUGCGUUAAGUUUAUUUUAAUAAAAAAUUAUGCAAUAACUUUAUUUAAUUAAAAAGACUUAAAUUUUAAUGAAAACCCCUUAAAUUUUAAUAAAAGGACAAAAAAACUUAAAUUUUAAUGAAAAAGACAUAAUUUUAAUAAAAAUGACAAAAAAUCUGACGCCGGACUUAUGGUACACUGUUUAUAAAACUUUCUACACUAUUUAUGAAAUUUAGGACAUUGUUUAUGAAACUUACUACACUGUUUGUGAAAACUGACGAUAUUAUUUAUGAAACUUACGACACUGUUUAUGAAAACUUAUGCUCACGAUGGUAUACCACCGUGUUCCGGGCACAUUGAAAAGUUUUUCGUCAUCAUAACUACUAUUGAAAAACAACAUCAUAAAAAUAAUUCAAUUAGAAGUAUUUUUCUUUUUCUAAGUAAAAAAAUAAUAAUUUAUUAAUCUAGCUGACAGUAGGAGAAAAAUGUGAGAUAAAAAAGUGGAGUGUGGAAGGGAAGGGGAUGUUACGUGACUAAUUUUGCUCAAAUCGAUCGCGUGCCCCUCUCUCUCUCACACGAUACAGAAUGAAGAAAAUCGGGUCGAAACGCAGGCUACAAGACGAGGGGUUUUCACAGAGUGGAAAGCGCAGAAUUAUGGCCCCAGAAUGUUCCAAGACUCCUGAGGAGAAGAGGGGGAGUUGGAAGAAAAGAGACAAAAUAUGCCACUGGAAAAGAAAGAGAUUCAGGACAAGUCCCAUUUUCUGUGUGCAAAAGAGAUUCAGGACAAGGCCAAUAUUCCCAGAAAGCUGUAGACCUGGAGUUUCUAAAAAUUGUCGAUAACUCGGUUCGUGCCGGCGACUCUCAGUUGUUUUUUUUUUUAAUUAUUAUUUUAUCCUUAUUAUUAAAUAAAAUUAAUAUAUGGUUUUUGAUUAAAAUAUAAAGAUUUGAAGUAUUUUUCAUUAGUUUUCCUUUUAAUUAUAUGAUAACUAAACGAAGUACUUAUAUCUCUUUCUUCCUUUGUUUGUUAGCAAUCAAACAAAAGUUUGGGCAAAAUUAAAGUUUGCGUAUUCCUUGGUUUAUGCUGCUAAUUAUUUGAUUAAAUAAUUUAAAUGUUGCGUACUUAUAAGGCAAUCUCCUCGAUGGAUUAAUUUAUGUUUCUUCCAAAGUUGACAACCUCCAUCUGCAUAUAAUUAGUCUCUUCGUGUUUCUUAAUCCAAGAAAUUUCCUAUAAAUCCUCUCCUAAUCAUCUAGCUACAAGUUAACAGUUUGUAGAUGACCCUCCGAUGAAAGGUCAAAUCUUAAUUAUAUGUGAUUGAUUGGCAGCUUGAACUGUUUGCUCAUGCUUCAAUUUAAGCAUGACAUUAUAUGGUUGCAUUUAGGGAUGGGCAAAUUACGCGCGGUUACCCGUCCAUUUAAACUUCACAGUUAUGGUUAUGGGUAACCGUUUAGAUAAAUAAACGGUUAUGUUUACCCGUGAAAUUUAAAUGGGUGGUUAUGAGUAUUAACUGCGGUUAUAAACGGGUAACCGUUUAGCCAUUUAUUUUAUAUAUGUAAAAUUAACACAAACUAUAUUCUCUAUCGGACAAAACUUAGAUCAAUGCUAUUGACUAUAGUGCAUGGUUCACAUAGCUAAUUAUAAUAUAAUGUAGCUCAUUAUAUAUAUUAUGUUAAUACUUUACAUUAUGGGUUAAAUAACCUAAGAAUACUAUCUUCUAAACAGUUUUUGUAACCCAAGAAUACUUUGCAAAUAUUGUCACAGCCCGUCCCGAAAUUCAUUUAUCGGUGAUGUAAAAUGGCAGUUUUAUCCUUGGACGGGGAAAUUGUAGUGUGUAUGUGUGACAUAUUGAGACUUAGAGGUUAUUGUGUGGUUUUGGCUUGGUGACCCACGUGGACCACACACACACCACACUCACUCCCUCUCUCUUCCUCCCCGUGCUCUCUCUCUCUCUCUCGCAAACUCUCUCUCUUCUCUCUUGUACGGACGACACCCAAAACCCACUGUAACGUGAUAGAUCGAGGAAGAAAAUGGUACCAUUGUGUUCUUAAAGUCCUCGCGAGUUCAAAGGUACCAAAUAUAGGUAAGAUUACCUUCGAUUUCACGUAGAACCACAAAGCUCGAUUUCCAUGCACUGUUCAUGCAACUUUUAUUCUUCAAUUUUUAGGGGAUUUCAAGCUUGUAGGAAGCUUUAGGAGGUCCCAAGGAGGCUUGAGGUAGUUCGUUUGAAUAAUUUGGACGUCGGGAUCGCGAGAAACGAAAAGUUGCAGGUUUGGUCGGAAUUUUGAAGCUUCUCCGACUUGAUUUUGUGAGAUUUGAAGCUUCAAAUAGUAUAACGUUGUUCUACUCAUCUCUAGCUUUCCAUUGGUGCAAAUUUCUCAGAAAAUGAUGAAGAAAUGAGUGAGAAAAUAAAGUUUUUCGAAAUCCCCAGUUUCCGGCAAUGGCGACGAUCGUCGGGGAUUUAGGAAGAAGACGACAGAAUAUUCCGUCCUGACGCCGUCGGUUAGGAUUAACGGUGACAGUUGGGUUUUAACGGAAUAUUCCUAACGGCAGUUAGAGAAUCCGUCAGGAUUCCCUGCGCAUGGCUGCACGUCUUGCCGUGCACUUGCCGGUGCGUGAAUGGUCCAAAAAUUAAUCUAAAAAUUUGGGGAUGAUCCUGAGGUUGUGUAGGUCACUGUGGUAUUCAUAUACCUAAUUUGAGCUAUAUAUGAGAAGUUAUUAACUAGUUUUGUUUAUGUGCUUUAAAAUAACGUUUUUAUAGUUAAUUCGCAUAUAUGUGAGACUUAUCCCGAGGACGAGUGUAUCCAAAGGUGACUCGGGGGCUACGACCCUUCGACUUACCAAUGAAUGGGCUUUUGGUUUUCAGUAUAUAUUAUAUACUUGACAUUUUCCCAGAAAAAUGUGUUUAAAUAAUAGUAUGCCAUAAAUGCUAUGCAUUAUAAGUUUAUAAUUCAUAAAUGAUUUGGUAUGUGAUGCUUUAUAUAUAUAAAUGUGGUGCUGUGGACGCUCAGGUAAGCUCAGGUAAGUUGUGUUUGGUUAUGUGAAUCAUCGAUGAUGCGAUAUGUGAUUGAAUAAUGUGAGCUCAUAAAACUGCACUUAGGGUGAUUGUGAUUUAGCCAUAGAUAUGGCACAGGCCUGUUUAUUAUGUCACCUCCUGCACCAUAUGCUCAUAUUGGAUCCAAUUUAGGUGCACAGUCUUGUCGUACAGACCUUAUUUAUGGUUCCGACUCGUAGGUGACUAGCGAUUUAUCGCCCAGCUAUUAUGUGAGAGUAGUAUUGAGCAUGAUUGUAUUACACCCAUUAUUGUCGUAUAGACAUUUUUGUUUGGUUCCGACUCUUAUAUAGCAUAUUGCCGUAUAGGUCAUCAUAGUGACUCCGACUAGAGUGACUUUUGAGCUAUGAAUUCAGCCAUACGGACUACCAUAGGGGUUCCGGCUCACAUAUUAUAUUUCUAUGAAAUUAACCUUACCUGAAUUGCUUACUCUGUUAUAUCUUGGCAUGGCAUACAUAUGAAUAUGAUUAUGUGAAACAUGAAUUGAAUUGAUAUGAUUUCAUAUAUAUUUAUGUAUAUGCUUAUUUAUUGAUUCUAGGGAAAAUUAUACAUGUUUUACAACGAGGGGUUAGUUAUGUUGAUAAAUGAAAUGGUUUUGUAAAACAUUUGUUUUUGCCCACUUACGUUUUCUGUUUUGCGCCCCUCCAUGUUUUAAGUAAGCUUGUUGUUGGUGGCUUGAGGACAUCGGCAGUUCUGACCUAUCUAAAUAAUAGUAGGACAUUUCUGGUACUGUAUAACUAGUACUUGUCCUACUGGACUACACCUAGACUUAUUAUGCUCUGAUUAUGAGUGUUUACUGUUGUAACUAACUCCUAUUCCUUCUUGUUUUGUAGUGCACUCUAGUAAUUUGGUUUUUAAUUAUUCGUAUAUUUCUUAUUUUUAUUGCUUCCGCAUUGUGCACAUGGCUACGUCACUCUCACGUGACAGCCAGCAUGCCUUGAUCUCGGUCAGGAUGUGUCAAAUAUUAUAUUACCUUAAUUGGUAACAUUUAAAAAUAUAGUUCGUAAACUAUUAUUUCAAUUAUUGGAAUGGUAUAAAGACUUAAAAAUUAAAAUACGGAAAUGUAUGAUGAAUGUACCUAUAACGACGUUUAAUUGUCAAAAAAAAAUUUAUGACAACUUUUUUUUUAAUUUUCAAGUUGUUAAAAAACAUGUAGACAUGUGAAAAAUGAGUAAUGGUAAAAAAAAAGGUUAAAAAGGGUAAAUGGGUAAACGGGUAUUAAACGGUUACGGUUAAAUGGGUAAGUGGUUAUGAGUAUGGAUAACCGUUUAUAAACGGUUAUGAGUAUGAAUAACCGUUUAUAAACGGUUAUGAGUAUGAAUAUAAUUGUUUAGGCAAUUACCCAACGGGUAAACAAUUAUGCGGGUAUGAGCAUAAACGGUUAUGGGUAAAUUGUUGGAAUAUGAUUAUGAUAACAUGGUUUUCACAAUAUGUGUAAUCAUGUGUGAAGGUACACCAUAACAUUGGUGUACUAAUAUACAUAUGAUUGUAGUGAAAUAAGUUAAUUAAUUAAUAAAGAAAAUAAUAUAAUAUAAUUAAUUAAAAGAUAUGAACAGUUAUAUUCCAACCUUAUAACUUCUCCUGAAGAACACAACUUCUCCAGAAAGGUUACUUGCAUAUCUAUAUAUUUGUAAAUCCCUUUCUGUCAGAAACACAUUCAAUUCUAUAUUCACUCUGUUCAUAUUUUUCACACCAUAUUGUGAUCGAUAGUCCAACGACAUCCGUUUCCGAUCCUAUAACUACUCAAUUUCUAUCAUUGGUAUCAGAGCCAGGUUUCAUGAAUCAAAACAAUUUGCCCAGUUUUCAUCCGAGGAUGUCUCGAACUGAAUCUGAGACUUCCUCUUCGUCAAGUCACGAAUCCAACAACGUUCUUUCUAAGUUUCAACUUGAGAAGAAAUCAGGGAAGAGGGCGUUGGUGACCAAGGAGAAUAUUGAACCGAUUUUGAUCGAAAGUUCGAAAUCGUCAUCUAAGAAUUUUCCUGUAGAAUCCAAAACUCACAAAAAUACCCACUCAUUCGAAAUCCCAUCCUACAACUUGUUUGAACCUAGGCCUGAAUUAACCCAACAAUUUGAACUUUAUUCCCCUACACCAUUUCUUUCGACAGAGAACAAAAUUCUUUCUGAAAUUGAACCAUUUCAUCAUACAAAUUCAUCCGACAAUUAUCAGAAUUCAGAAAGGUUUUACAGUCCCAUUAGGCCCUCAGACAAUCCAUUUCAAUCGGGAUUUUUGGCUACAAAAACCGAAUCUACACAAGAAUUUGAAACUACAAGUGCAGAUCCCUUUCCUACAUUUUGGUCACCAAGUCCAAGGGAUUUACCUGCACCUUUAAGUCUGAUUCGAAGUCGUCCUCUACCUCCACCAUGGUCUCGCCUUCCACCGUGGACUCGCCGACGUGGUCGUGUUCUCCCACCGUGGUCACAUCCUUCAGCCGCGGUCUUGUCCUCUCGUGGUAAUACACAACACCGACGGCACCUAUUUCCUCGAAGAAAAAUUGUAUCUGCUGUUCGUGAUCUCCCACCGGGUUGCGGGAUCAAUUUUCUCCAGAAAGGGGAACGAUCGUAUUUUUUUCCAGAAAAAGAGGCGUGAUUUACAAAGACAAAAUCAAGGAAGAGAGUCCAUCGAUUUUCAAGAUUCCUUGGGUCUGGAAAAUUAAGAACUUUCUUAUGGUUAUAAGCAUUGUCAUAGUGUACGUGAAGAAAGCCUUCCAUUCUCAGAAAGUCAAAUUUGUAAGUCUUUUGAGGUAGGCUCACCUUUAAGUCGGAAACAAAUAAAAUAUAAGGGAUUUUGUAGUUCAGAGCAAUUUGACAGUGCAUUUAAAGGAGAUCUUGCUUUUGGUGAGGUUUCACGUGGGGAACAAACUAAAGCUAGCAGAUUUUUGGGUUCUGAAAAGUGCAGUAAUAGUGAUAGGUGUCUAUCAAAAAGUCAAGUUAACAGUGUUUUUGAAGUGGGCUCCUCCUCUUGGCAAAAUUCGGGACAGCUGCAAUUGGAGUCAUUUCCUACUCGUUUGGGUGUUACGAUCGCACCAAAUUCAGGUUUUAUUAAUUCCUUUUUACCCUAAUUUCACUCAUAAAGUUAAUUUGUGGAAUACUUUGAAUAAUAGUCACAAAUAUCAAAAGUGGAAGCAAGGGUUUAAUUUUCGGAAUUCUAGAGUCAAAGUUCUUAAUUAUUUGGAUCAACAUAAUACCCGUUACGGUUUUAUAUAUCCUGAUUUGGCACAAAGAGAAAUUUCGACUGCAAGAAAUUUAAAGGGGCCAAGACCACUGAGAAUUGAAAGAGAAUCCAGUAGUCGAGAAGAGAAUGCUUUUGUGUACAAAAAUAGUGGAAGAAUUGAACACACCUGGCCAAGUAGACAAGUAAGAAAUCCACAAGUCUUCUAUCGACGUGAUCGCCUGAACAAGUACUCGUCUUUCACUGAUUGGACAAAGCCUCUGUGAAUGCGUGCAGUAUCUGCUACUAAAAAUAAAUAAGUCUCUCUCUAUUAUUUUAUUUUGUUUUAGUCUUUAAUUUAUUAAGAACAAUUAGUAUUUGUGGCUUGUAAUAAUUAAAAGUACACUAGUAGUAUUUGUAUUUGUAUUUAAGUUUGUAUCAAGUAUUGUGUUUGUUUUGUAAUUUCUGAGUUAUGGCAACUAAAUCUUCCAAAUCCGAAGUUUUUAAAAUAGAGAGGUUGAAUAACGUUAAUUAUCGAAUAUGGAAGAGAAUGAUCACUUAUCUUUUAACCCAUGACAAAACUUUGUACACUAUCAAGGAUGAGAGACCCCUUGGGCCCUCUCGAGCUUAUAAUAAAUGGGUGGAAGAUAAUGAGUUGGCUAAGGCCACAAUUCUCAAUUACAUGGAAGAUAAAUUAAUACCUCUCUAUGAAGAAUAUGAUUCGGCCAAAGAAAUUAUGGAUGUACUUGAAAAGAAGUAUGGCCCUAAAUUUCAAACUUACAUUUAGUUAUUACUUGAGAAAUACAAUGGGACAAAAAUGGAGGAAACUGAUUCUAUGGUCGAUCAUAUUACUAAAAUGGAAGUAAUGGCAAAAGACUUAGCCAAUGCUGGCCAUCCAGUUUCUAAUAAAAUGCAAGUUAGUGUUCUUCUUGGUAGCCUCCCAAAUUCUUGGGAAAAUGUAGUUACUUCCAUGACUUAUGGUCAAGUUGAUUUAACGAUGGAUACAUUGCCUGCAAUGUUGGCUAUUGAAGAAGUUCGUAAAAAUUAUAGGAAAAAGGAAACUGGACAAGGCAGAGCUAACCUCCUCAUAUCGAAAGAUUCUCAGAAAAACAAGCAACACAUGCACAAGCCACAUAAUAGUAACAAGUGCCCGAACUUCAAAAAGGUUGGACACCACAAGCAGAACAAGUUUAAAAGAAAGGAGAUUGCAUGUUACAAUUGUGGAGAGACUGGUCAUUAUAGGUAUAAGUGCCCAAAACGAUGCAAGAACAACAAAAAUCCUAAAGAACUAAUUUUGACUGUCUCCGAAGCACUCAUUGCUGAAGAUCAAGGACAAUGGUGGAUCGACUCAGGAGUAACUCGUCAUGUAUGCAAGGACAAAAGUUGCUUCAUCACUUUCAAGGAAAAAUCAUUAGGAGAACAUCGCCUCUACAUGGGCAACAAUACUUAUGUCGAUGUUUUGGGUGAAAGAGAUUGCAAGAUCAACAAUAGUAAAUCCACCAUUGUACUUAAAAACAUUCUGUUUGCACCAAAUAUAAGGAGGAAUCUUGUCUCAGUCUCUAUCUUAGAAAAGAAAGGUUUUGAGACAAGGUUCAUGAAUGGUGUUGUCACUAUUGGAAAAAAGCGUUAUAUUUAUGUAAGGGGAAUAAGAGUCGAUAAUAUGUACUCAAUUUGUAUUAAUAAAAGUAUUUCUUUCGAGUCUGCCUUUGUCUGUACUGUUCAAAAUUUGUCAUAUUUAUGGCAUUUACGUUUAGGUCACAUAAAUGAAAAUAAAAUGAUACGCAUGAGUAAAAAUGGGAUGUUGCCUCAAGUAAAUGCAAAUGAUUUUGAUACAUGUGAAUCAUGUAUUAAAGGAAAAAUGACUAGAAAAUCUUUUUCUCAUAAUUGGACUUCUACAAAUUUACUUGAGAUAGUGCAUACAAAUUUAUGUGGACCAAUGAGAACUAAAACCCAUAGAGGAAUGAAAUAUUUUGUGAAUUUCAUCGAUGAUUAUUCCCGUUAUGGACAUGUCUACUUCUUAACAUAAAAAUGACGCCUUAGACAAAUUUAAAGAGUUUAAAGCAGAAGUAGAGAACCAAUUAGGAAGAUCCAUAAAGACCCUUAAUAGUGAUAAAGGUAGAGAAUUUGAAGCCUUUGAUGAUUUCUGCAAAGAGAAUGGUACAAGGCAUAAUUAUACUAUGCCUUAUACACCGCAACAAAAUGGUAUCGCAGAAAGAAGAAAUCGAACUCUAAUGGACAUGAUGCGAUCUAUGAUGUCUUAUGCUGACUUAUCUCUACAUUUUUUGGGUGAAGCUUUGGCUACUGCAACUUAUAUAUUGAAUAAAGUUCAUACCAAGGCUAAGCCACUGACUCCAUAUGAAUUAUGGCAUGGGCGAAAACCCGAUUUAUCAAACUUAAAAGUUUGGGGUUGUAAAACGCAUGUCCUCAUUCCAAAGCCAUUAAGAAAUAAAUUACAAGAAAAAAUUUUGGCCUGUAAAUUCAUCGGAUAUCCUGAUAAUAGUAACGGAUAUAGAUUUUAUCAUCCUGAGAAAGGAUUGAUCAAAAGUAGAGAUGCUACUUUUAUUGAAACUACUGAUUUGAUUAAUCCAAUACAAGAAUUGGAAUCUUUGGGAGAAGAAAAUUCUCAUACGGAUGAUCAAGAUUUCCAUCUUGAUUUAGACUUGUCUCAUGACCAUGACAUUGACAAUGAUCAAGUGGGAGACGUAAAUAUAAGUGAUCAUAACAAUGUUGACAAUGACACACACAUGGAUGAUGAUCAUGAUAUUAUUAUGGAAGAUAUAAAUAGUGGGAGAAAUGAUCAAAUCAGUGGGAGUAAAAGAAAAAGGGAACCAUUUAGAAGAUUGAAAGAUCACUUUGUUUUCAAUCUUGAGGAGGUAGAUCAUUCAGUGGAAGAUCCAGACCCAAGGAAUUAUAAAGAAGCAAUGGAUAGUUUUGAGUCUAAACAAUGACAACAAGCAAUGAAUGAAGAACUAGAUUCCAUAAAGAAAAAUGAAGUUUGGGAAUUGGUUGAUCUACCUAAUGGAAGAAAGCCCAUCGGUUGUAAAUGGGUACUUCGUAAGAAGUACAAAUCAGAUGGUACUCUGGAUAAGUUUAAGGCUCGACUUGUAGCUAAGGGUUAUACACAGAAACCCAAUAUAGAUUUUAUGGACACUUACUCUCCAGUUGCGAAGUUUACAUCCAUUCGUAUUCUUAUGACAAUUGUUGCUAGAAUGGAUUUAGAACUUCAUCAGUUAGAUGUCAAAACAGCAUUCUUGAAUGGAGAUUUGAAGGAAGACAUCUAUAUGAUUCAACCCGAAGGAUAUCAUGUUAAAGGACAUGAAAACAAAGUCUAUAAAUUAAGAAAGUCGUUGUACGGUCUUAAACAAUCAUCAAGACAAUGGUACUUAAAGUUCCACCAGGCCAUUAUAGAAAUGGGCUACAAAAUAAAUCCAUUGGAUCAUUGUGUUUACUCUUGGAAGUGCCAAGAUAAUUUUUGUAUGUUGUCACUGUAUGUAUGACAUCUUACUUGCAGGUAACUCUAUGAAUAUGAUUGAAAAGACUAAGUCAUAUCUGGGAUCCAAAUUUGAAAUGAAAGAUAUGGGAGAAGCAUCUUAUGUUCUAGGAAUUAAAAUUACUAGGGAUAGAGAUGCCAAAACACUCUAUUUGGAUCAACAAAAUUAUCUGGAUAAAAUAUUUAAAAGAUUUAAUAUGCAAGAUUGCAAGCCAGUUAGUACACCUGUUUGUAAAGGAAUGAUGCUUUCCAAAAAUAUGUGUCCGGUACAUAAGCAAGACAUCAAUGAUAUGCAAAAUAUUCCAUAUGCCCAAGCAGUUGGAAGUUUGAUGUAUGCUAUGAUUAGCACAAGACCUGACAUAUGUCAUGUAGUUGGAUUGGUAAGUAGAUAUCAAUCCAACCUCGAAAAGCAACAUUGGACGGCAGUAAAGAGAAUUAUUAGAUAUCUAAAAGGCAUCCAAGGUAUGAAACUAUGUUUCGGAUUAAAUGAUCUAGAUUUAGUUUGUUAUUGCGAUGCAGAUUUCGCAGGCGACUUGGAUGACAGAAAGUCAACAAGUGGUAACAUUGUCUUGUUUGGAGGAACGGCUGUUUAUUGGUUAAGUAAGAAACAAAGCUGUGUUGCAAAGUCUACCAUGGAAGCAGAAUAUAUAUCUUGUAGCACAGUGGUUAGUACUGCAGUAUGAGCUAAACAAUUUAUCGAUAAUUUAAAUAUAGGUAUACCUAAGGAGCACGUCAAUGUGUUUUGUAAUAAUAAGUCCGCCAUUUUUCUGAUAAAGAGUGGAGCAAAUAGUUCCAAAGGAAAACACAUUGAUGUUAAAUAUCACUAUGUAUAAGAUAUAGUGGAGAAAGGAGAGGUAGAGGUUGACUACAUACCCUCCGAAGAGAUGGUGACCGAUCCGAUGACCAAGGGGUUGUCUCUGAAAAAAUUCAGAGAGCAUGUGACUACAAUGGGUUUGCAAAACAUCUAGAUGUGUUGUAGUGUGAGAUGUGCGGCGGGCAUCGUUAUAUGGUUUUAGGGACGCCUAAAACAUGGACAAGUAGAUGCGACUCUAUCUGGUUCUUUAGUACUUGGUUGGUUAAAGAUAGAGGGCACUAGCGAGGUAACCAGGUUAUAAUAAAUCGUCUUGAAAGUAAAAUCCAUAAUAAGCUUCAAGAAAUCAUUUAUAAAACACUGUGGCGUAUAGUGCGGGGCUAAGUCAUCAUUUGUAACCAGAUAUGGAUUGUUUUUCCCUAGUUACUUGGAUAUGAUGCCAUUUUACUAUAGAGUAAAAUGUCAUCGGAUUAAGUGGAAUGGUGCGCACCAGGUAAAGAAGCCACAUAUCUGAUGUUACAUUCAAUUUGUUUAUGAGUAAUACUCUUGAGAAAAAAAAAAAAAACCAAAAUAGGAAACCAUUUAUGUCAUCAUAAUCAAGUGGGAGAUGUUGGAAUAUGAUUAUGAUAACAUGGUUUUCACAAUAUGUGUAAUCAUGUGUGAAGGUACACCAUAACAUUGGUGUACUAAUAUACAUAUGAUUGUAGUGAAAUAAGUUAAUUAAUUAAUAAAGAAAAUAAUAUAAUAUAAUUAAUUAAUUAAUUAAUUAAAGGAUAUGAACAGUUAUAUUCCAACCUGAGAAUUAUAACUUCUCAUGAAGAACACAACUUCUCCAGAAAUGUUACUUGCAUAUCUAUAUAUUUGUAAAUCCCUUUAUGUCAGAAACACAUUCAAUUCUAUAUUCACUCUGUUCAUAUCCUUCACACCAUAUUGUGAUCGAUAGUCCAACGACAUCCGUUUCCGAUCUGUAACUACUCAAUUUCUAUUAUAAAUAACCGCGGUUACCCGUCCGCCAUAACUGUUGUCCAUAUGCAUGCAUUAACGAAUAUGUCACAUGUGAAUUGGUUUGUCAAAAAUACUCAUAGAUGUGCAUAUAGUGGAUAUUGCCCUAGUGGUUAGGGACUUUCUAACUCAUGAUGUUCCAAGUUCAAAUACUGAUCAUUCCUUAAUUUAGUUUAAAUUAGUCUAAAAUAUUGUUUGUAAUAAUAAUAAUAAAUAAAAAACAUUCGUAGAUGUGAGAUGUAAACAAGUAUAUAUAUAGUAAUAAUAAAUUUGAUUAUAUUUUCACACAAUUCAAAUAUGAAGAAAAAGUUGCUACUUGGUAUUAAUCUUUGGAUAAUUUUAGAAGGAUCUACUAACGUUUAAGUAUAUGAUAUUGGUCAACCAGAGACCGAACUAAAAUAUCCCACAUAUAUACAUAUUAAAUAUCUAGCACUUGUAACAAAUGAUAUAUACACACGGACAGAUAUAUACACACGGACACACACAAAGACAUAUAUAUGGGUCAUUUUGAUUUCGGUCCUUAAUCAACUUAAUUGUUAAACUAAAAUCUUAUUUGUUUAAAUAGUUUGAUCGAGAUCCUUAACAUUAUUUAAGAAAUUUAACUCGGCCACUCCUAGUGGUAAACACCCUACAAUCAUGUCUAAUUUAUCAUCCAUAGGUGCUGAUGCCUCCUGGAAAUCCGAUAUCUCCAUUGAUGUAGUUGCAUCUUCCAGAUGAUCUACAUGUGCAAAGUUAGACUCACGACGAGAAUGAUAUUUGGCAAUAGCCUCAGGGGAAGCUCGGCAUACGCGUGACCAAUGAUCCCUUGAUCCAUAGCGAUAACACAUGUCCAGUUCAGUAAAAGCAGCUUGAACGAGAACUUUGCCCUUGUUCUUGAAGUUUAGAUCCUUAGGGUAUUGUUUGGUACGCAGACGGGACGGAACGAGACGGGACGGAACAGGACGGAACGGAUGAUGUAAAUAUUGAAAAAGAUAAGGAGAAAUUUUGUCAUAAAAUGUUAUAAAUUUGUGUUCCACGGAUGUGGAACUGGUCGUUCCAGGGGGAAGAGGUGGAACGAAAAAUCAGCCAAAUUUCGUCCCAUGGGACAACCCGUUCCACAGUUUUUAGGCGCACCAAACUUGGGACCGAACGGCUCGUCCCGUUCUGUCCCGUCCCGUCCCACUUACUAAACGGUACCCUAGAGGCGAGUGGUAGACGUUGUUGGGUUACAUUUCUUCCCUUAGGUGUUGCACUCAGUUGACCUUGGGCCCGUGGUUGGGCUUGCCACUUAUUACCACAGCCACAACGGUUCUUUCGUCGUUUAUGGAUGCUAGAAUAUGUUACAUGUGCUUCAGGCGCAGCGUUCGAGCCAGUGGGUCAAGCUUGAUGAUUCUUCAUCAAAAGCUGAUUCUGCUUUUCAGCGAGAAGUAAAACAAAGAUCAAAUCUAAAAACUUGGUGAAUUUUUGUGCCCUAUAUUGUUGAUACAGGACAAUAUUGGUGGCAUGGAAGGUCGAAUAAGUCUUCUCCAAGAGAUCCGAUUCGGUUAAUUCCAUUUUGCAAAAUUUCAACAGAGAACGGAUUCUACAAACUUCAGAAUUGUAUUCAUUCACGGACUUAAAGUCUUGGAAGCGAAGAUGUUGCCAGUCGUGUCUUGCUUCAGGCAAGUAUAUGUCUUUCUGGUGAUCAAAACGGUCGGCUAGAGCAAGCUAGAAGGUGCGUGGGUCUUCCUCAUCAAGAUACUCAGUCUGCAGUGCAUCAUGAAUGUGUCUUUGGAUGAAGAUCAUUGCAGUAGCCUUCUGAGCUUCGUCAACAGGUUUGUCGGCGAUAGGUGCCUCAAUGGUGGCUCUAAUACCCUUUGCAGUAAGAUGGAGUUUCACGUCUUGAACCCACUUCAGAUAGUUUCUUCCAGAGACUUCUAGAGCGGAGAAAUCGAGCUUGUUCAAGUUCGACAUGUCCCUAAAACGGAGGGAGAAAAUGUAAUUAGUCAUAUGGUAAGCAGUAGACAUAUAUCGUAAAACAUACAGGUUCUAUAGACAUGUAGCGGUUUAAUUUAUGCAUGAAAACUACGGGUUUCAUGUGGUAUGUUUUGAAUGAAAACUUCGGGUUUCAAAGGCACUAAAUUUGAAACUACAGGUUCAAUUUAGUUUUAUGAACAAUUAGUUCAUAAUGAAAGGUUCCUGCAAGAAACACAGAAUGCAAUAUACUAACUAAGUGUAAUGGAUUUGAUUCUUCGGGAACUCAUGUGUGAGAGCUUCGUUACUACGAAAGUAUGUGAUGGUUCAAAGUAUAAAAAUAAAUUAUUGAAUCGCUAAUGUCCAAAAGUGAUCUUCAGGUCAAUAAUUUUGGAUUCAUUAUCAGAUUAAUGGACUGCAGGUCAAUUUUAAUUAAUUCAAUAAAUCGGGCCAUACGGGAUCGAUUGUAGAAGCUAAAUAAUAUUAAAAGAAUAUUAUUGGAUAAAAAAUAUAGCCCCAAAAUAAUUUGGGCUUGGUGCUGUGAGUUAUAGGUCACGGGUUUGGGUGCCUUAAGCAUAAGGCAAGGCCCAAAGAUCCUUGGAUGGUGGCUGUAGGCCACGGGAUGGACAUCAGAAGCCCCAGCCGUAGGUGGGUUGUGUUUUGGGCCGCAAGGGAGUGCACGGACAGGUUCAGCGCAAGCUGGCCUGUGGGUUUGCGUUGGAAAAACUAAGGCCAACGCAUGGGCUGGCUGCAGGUGAUGCAUGCUAUGACACGGGCCAAGGUGCAGGUUAUGGGCAUGGCAACCCAACAACCUUAAAGGUUGCAGCAUGCAGGGAAUAGGACCCCAACCCGGAGCUAGGUUGUGUGAAGGCUACGGGCCUUGGUGCAAGGGUGAAGGGCUGCAGGCCCAUCCAUUUGGGUCUCAGGCUGAGACCUAGUAUCAAUUUGCACAGAGAAGGUGCAGUGUUGUGCAGCACCAUGCCUUAGUUUCCCCUUUUUCUUUUUUCUUUUUCAAAUCCCUUAGGGUUUAGGAAAAACCCUAAAUAUGCUUCUAAUUUAUUUUGUAUAAUUUGACUCACAAAUUCCACAUAACAAUUUAAUUAUGCGAUGCAUGAAACAAAUAUAUAUAUUGACAAAUAUAUGAACAUAUACAAUAUAUAUAUAUCGAAAGGAAAAUAUAAAGAAAGAGGGGUUCAUGCAUUAUGGGGAAUGUUUUCAUGCUUCGUGGACGUUUCAAAUAUCUUCUUUUAUUUUAACCGUACCUGAUUAGUAGAAAACGAAUAAGCUUUUGAAUUUGGUGGAUGAUAGCCUCCUCCAACGAUACAUCAAUUCCUUAGCUUCUGGCAAGAGCAUACUGAUAACGUGUUGUAGGCCUAUUUUAUUGAACGAUCUAGGGUUUAGAGAGAGGGGGGCCGGCCACUAUUAGAGGAAGAGAGAUUGAUUUAAUUGUGAGAUGUGUUUGAUUCACCCCAUUGUGCCUUUAUUUAGAGUAGUAGGAAGGAUAAAACAUUUCCUUUUAGGAUUACAACAUUUAAUAGGUAAUCUAAUCUUAAUAGGAAUAUAAGAUACAUUCCUAGAUUCCUUAGGAUUUACACAAUCACAUUCCUAUUCUAAAUAUGACUGUAACAAAUAUAUGAUAAAAAAAUUUAGCCAUAAAUAUAAAUAUAUCAAUUGUUAUUACCAAAUGCAACAUUUCUAACACUAAAUGAAUAUAUUUAGAAAUAAAAAAUAUUUUAUUAGUGAAAUAAUUAAUGACGUUUAUUAAUACCUAGGGACCUUGAUCACAAAUUGAAAAGGAAUAAGGUUUUAAUCAAGGGAAUUGCAAAAAGAGGGAUGGAAACCUAAUUUUUAUAUAUAUAUGAGAAAACUGUCGAUUUUCCUCUUGACCUUCACUUAGCUUUCGAUUUCUCCCCUAAAUUUUUUAUUUGGAAAAUCAAGGACUUAAACUAAUUUUUUUUUGCCAAUUUCCCCUACCAUUAGUUUUCCAUAAAUUUCAUCCAAAUUAACGUUAACACUUAUCACGUGCACACUACGUGACUCUCAUUUGAGGACAAAAGUGUUACUUUGCUAGUUCUUCAGAUACAAAAGUUAUAGAAUCACACAGAUUUGCAAAAGUUGACAUUCUAGAUAUCUAGGGUUUUCAAUUAUUUUAAAGAACAAAGCGAUCAAACUACCCACAAAUGUUGUGCACAUGCUUUAAUUAACAGAACUUUAGAUGAAAUGAAUGAAAAAACUAACAACAGGGGGAAAUCGGCCAAAAAAAUUAGUUUAAGUCCUUAAUUUUCCAAUUGAAAAGUUUAGGGAGGAAAUAGAAAGUCAAGUGAAAGUUCAGGAGGAAAAUCGGUAGUUUAAUAUAUAUGUAUGUACCUGUACCUGAUAAAGUUGUUUUCUUCGCACACAACUCGGCAAACCCUAUGAGCUAGAAAUACCUUGAUGCAAUUGCAGAGUACGGAAAGCUUACGGAAUAUGACUAAUUUUUCAUCAUGAUGCCGAUGGCUUACUCUCUGAUCCAGUCUAAAUUCAACUGAUUAUCAUUUAAGCAAUACAGAUAAUAGUUAGAGAUCCGGAUAACCAUUUCACAAGUUGUACGUUAAUUAACGAAGAAUAUUCUUACAGUUUACUAUUGAGUUGUGAGUUAGAAUGUGAGCAUUCAAUUCAAAAUUCAAUUAUCGACAAUGGUCAAAAUCAUAGGAACACUUAUGCAACAUUUUACUCCGCUGCGGACUCCUAAACUCAGCUCAUGCCUAGGACCCUAGUUUGUGAAAAUGAACAAACGAUAAUCAUGAUCAAAUUAUUUUCACUGAGUGUUUGGUGGCUGUUUUGCUAAUCUUGCGACUUAUUGGUGUAACUGUGCCACUAUCUGUUAUAUUAUUAAAUUAAACAGGCAAGUUAAUUGAUAAUCUUCCAUGCACGAUGGUCUGUUGGAAUUUAUCUCUAAUGGUUAAGUGAGAUAAGACUGAUUGAGUUGGUCUUCUAUAUUCUAAGUUUAAGUCCAGAACCAAAAACCACACUGCCUGAAAAGGAUAAACGAAGAACAGUAAGCUUCCACGUAAAUGCAGUGCGCAGAUAUAAAUUUAUUUCUAGUUAGUUUCAGUUUCGAUGAAGCCUAGCUAGUUUCUGCACGUUUGUAAAUGCAGUGCGCAGAUAUAAUUUUCUAGCCGGUUUCAGUUUCGAUAAAGCCUAGCUAGUUUCUGCACGUUUUUGUUUGUUUGUCGAUCCCCUAAUUCUCUUUAGGUUUAUUCAAAAGCAAAAAUUAAGUAAAGUUGCGAGAUUGUGUAGAAAAAAGAGUGCAGAAAUCACUUUUGCAUACAAAUUGGAGAAAGUAAAUAGGGUUUCUUUAUAAUAGGACUUGCUAGUAGCAGUGCAAAUCCUUCAAUUUAUUAAACACUCUAAUUAACCACACACGACAUCUCUAAAUACAUACAAUACGAAGUACUAUAACCUGGAAACAAAUAAAAGGACAAUUAACUAUAUAAUUAAAACGCCAAUAUAUAUAAUUAGGGUUGCUCGUGAUUUGAUGAUCCAUCUACUGCAUAAUCAAGCUCCUAAUUAUAGCGGCCUCCGGACUAUCAGCAUCAAUUGUAGAGAGCAGUUGGGAGAGUCGCUCGCUUAGGUCGUCAACCUCUCUGUGUAAGUUUCUGAUGUAGCUGCAAGUCUCUUGUAGGACCUUAGAUGCUGGUGCCUGCACCAUACACCAAAGUAAAAGCCAUCCCAAUUAGCGCCAUAACUACUGGCUUUCUAAUAUUUUCACAACACAUUUUAAGGAAAUAAUUUUUUUUUCAGUGUGACGGUGAUUAACAAAACUACUAUACAAUAUUCAAUUUGCGUACACAGAAUAAUCUCUCUAUAUGCAUACAUAUUAUAUAUGUAUAACGUAUAAAUUCUUCAAGUUCUAAACAUAUCACAUGUCACAUAACACAUGACACAUGAUAAGGUUUACUACUAGAUGGUCCAACUCCAACAAGACAGUGUUUAGUAAUAUAUGGGUCAAUGGGAAACCCAUAUUAUUAAUUAUCAACCCAUAUAUCUAGUUCCUAUGGAAAUGUAUCAAUCCCUUGAUGUCCGGGUCAAGUUUAGGUUACUCGAAAAGUCCAAAUAGACUACAAUAUUAUACUUUACAUGCGGUCCUAAAGUGCAUUUUCUCUUUGCUCCAUGUUUAUCUACCUGCACUUGGGUUGUUUAGAAUUCUUCAAAUCCAGAUGCAUAUGUAUCAUGACAAAGAAUUGUUAUCGACACUUAUAAACAAAGUCUUAUAUUACAGAUUUUAUGCGCUUUUAACAGCUCACUCACUAAUUUACCUAAGAAAAUAAGUGCAAAAUCAAUGACUUUAUUUUAGGUGUAUGUUCUUUGAGAGCAGAGAGGAAGAGUUUACCUUGUUGGAGCGCCUAUCUCGAAUCUCAGGAACCAGUUGACGUAAUUUGGACACCAGUUCGAUGAUUUGGUCAUCUUUGAUCGCUGGAGUACCUGACUGCCUCGACCUUCUGCUAGACAUGAUCCCCUUCACCUAGCUAGCUAGCUAGACAAGUAGCUCUAGUUUUAUAUAUCGUUCUCAGAACAUAUAUAUAUGUUCGUAUGUAUGAUCAGCCUGCCUAUGGAGCUUUAUAUAUCAUAUAUAAGGUUUAAGAACGAGAAUAUUAACCUAAAAGAGGCUAGCUAGUAACAGAAGCACUGGAAAAGCGGAAAAGGAAGGAGAAGUAGAUGAAAGAACAAGGAGAAGGAGAAGAAGAAGAAGAGGAAAAAGAGUAUCUGCCUAUCUGGUAACAGAAGAAGUGGUACUAGCUAUCCUAGAAAUAAGGUAUAUGAAGAGCUUAGCCCCAGACAAUGAUAAGAGAUAUAUAAAGAGAAGAAGGACCACUAGGGAAAAUAGCAGAGAGAGAGAGGGAGUACAACAUAGACAACGAUGUUGGAUGUGAAGAAGACAACCGCGCAUUGGAGAAAGCAGUCUACUAGACCUGGUAUUUCAAGGCAAGUGUGAGAGAGCGAAAUAAGAGCGACGAAAUUUUUUAUGGGUAUUCUAAGCAUAAGUUAGGUGUAUUAUUCACGUGUUAUAAUACAAAUGGACGAUGUGGUUGAUAUACAUCUACGUUUAAGGUAUUAACAAAAAAAUGAAUUUUCGUAUUAAAAUUUUAGUAUUACAUAUAACGUCCCGUGAACAUGUUCUAUGUACAUAAAAGAUUGGGAGAGAGAGUUAGAUGUUGUGUGUGUUCCCGAGUUGGGGUUUGAUUUCAAGUGGGCUUCAACAAAGGUGUUUGAUUUUCAGCUAACAAAGUGGGGCCUUCAUGUACAUGUCUCCAUACGCAACACCAUGUGAUCAUAGGAUACUGAUCCUCUCAGCUUCCACAACUAGGGUUACUGAAUUUUAUUCACCAAUCAGCCACUGCCAUGUUUGCGCCCCCUUUGAAUUUUCAGCAAUGGCUCCUAUGUUUCAGGGCAGUCAUCUCCAGAUGCAGGUAUUUCUUUCUACUCCAUUAUUCUGACUUGGUAUUCUACGGUUGGUUUUGAACACAAGGCUGGAUUAGUUACAUACAUUGGGGCCUCUACUUGACAAUAGAUAAACUUCUCCGGUCAGUUUUCACACCGAGGGAGACUAAGUCGAACGUAAAUAUAAUCUUAUGUCUUUUUUAUAUACAUAAGCAUUCUUCGGAUGUUGUGGGUGGUCAGGGUGUCUAAUAAAAAAAUCAAUGUGUCAUGCUUGGUAAAAAAUUAACUAGUCAGAUUCUUCAACUUCAAUGGAGUUAGUUUUCGAACUGUAUAUUUGAAAUAUUUCUUUCAUAUUAUCCCUCGGAAAUCAUAUCACAUCUUCUUAUGUAUAUGCAUUAAUCAAAUUGUAAAUGAAAUAUUCAAUUCGUUUUAACCAAGCAAAUCUCUACUGCGUCUCUGGCUAUGAGUUUAUAUUUGUUUUCCCUUCUUGUUUGGGACACAACUACGUGAGCACUGCGUAGCACAAGCUUCAGGGUCACAUGCCAAUUUCCUGGCACACACGACACGCCAAGUGGCACGCCAUAAACCUGAGUACAUACAACAAGAGGUACAGAGGUGGGAGGUGUUUUCUAGAACAGGCGUGGAUGUGAAAUUUCCAGGCUUUUGUCAAGCACUGUCACAUGCGACUAUAAAAUUAAACGACCCCCUAUUUGUCUGCAAGGACCCCUCCUCUCUCUCUCUCUCUCUCUCUCUCUCUCUCUCUCUCUCUCUCUCUCUCAGCGAGCCUCUUGUGUGUUGUGUGCCUAUGUGCUGCAUGUGUGUGCAUUUUGUUGCAAAUUUUAUUUUAGCCAACAACCAGCAAGAUCUUUAACUACGAUCGUUUUGGGCACCCACCAACAAAAUAAUAUAAUUCCAACCCUAAAGAUAAAACGAAAUGACGUUGGGAUAAAUAUGUUGUGUGGGUAUGUAUCUUUCAUGUUUCUAGACUCUAAUCCCCAUCUAAUAUAUAUAUUCAAUUUAUAAAGAUAGGUUGUUUUAUCAAGACAAUCGGAUAUGUUAUAUAUGUUGUCAACUAAGUUAUGAAAAAGUUCAUAAACGUAGCCACACAUACUAAAGAACAUAUAACUAGGGUUUACUAAUGGACGUAGAUACAUUGGAUUAUGAUCUACAAUUAGGGUCUAGUAAAAAGAUUUAUUAUUUUGUAACAACGACAAUAUUCUAAUCUUUUACAUGAGCCUUUAUGUCACUACAAAAAAAAAAAAAAAUCUCCCUUUCCAGACGAAAUGGUACAUGUAUUAUAUGUACCCUAAAGAUUUACAAAUAGAUCAAGAGGUAAUUAACUUUCAUAUUCUCUUCAAACCCACAUAAUCCACUGAAAAUGGUAAAGGAGCAAAGCCGCGCACUAGGGAUGGCAAUUUAACCCAUCAAAUCCGAUCCCUGCAAGUAAGCGAUCCGAAUGGUUCGGUUUCGGGUAUAAAAUUUCAGGUAUUUUACGGGUAUGGGUAAUUGUCGGGUAAAUUUUUCGGUUUUGGGUUCGGUUAUGGUUAUUGGGGUAUCCGCCCCAAACCCAUACCCGAAACCGAACCAUUUCAUCUAUAAAUAAAAAAAAUAUAAAUAUUUAUUAUAUGAAAAUGGGUUGUUAAUAAUCAUGCAUUAUUAAAUAUGAAAUUAAUUAUUUACUUUUAUAUCAUUAAUAAUAGGAAUUAUAUGCUUAUAAUUUUUAAGAGUGUAAAUGUUUUCUUAGUAAUAUAAAGUUUUAAUAUUACUUAUUAGAUGCAUUGUGUAUCAAUUGUAUUAAUAAUAGCAAUUUAUUUAAUAUCUUUUUUUUUUAAUAUUCUUCAUUUAGUUAAUAAUAUAAAUAUAUAUAUAAAUAUCAUAAUGGGGAAAACCGUUCCCCGAUAAUAAAUCCAUCACCCGACGGGUUUGGUUAUGGGGAAAACCCGUUCGGGGAUUCUACGGGUUUGGGUUUGGGGAAAAUAAACGGGUUCGGGUUUGGGGAUGGCACAUCCGAACCCAAUCCAUCCUGUUGCCAUCCUUACUGAGCACAUACAUGCAGUCUCUAUAUGCAUGCGUUUAGAGCCGACCCUAAGAAUUUAGAGGCCCUAGGCGAGCCUCGAAGUGGGGCCCUAAAAUUCUUUGAUCUCUGGUCCUUUGUACAUUGAUUUGUAUAAAAAAGAAUUUGCUAAAUACAUAAAAAGUUCUAUUUUCACAUCAAAUAUCAUUAAAAAUUAAUAUCAAAAGAAGAUAAAUAUACAAACAUUAUUUAAACAUUACACGAUUCACGUUUUUAGACACAAAUGUACUAAAUGUUUGCAGUCAAGAGUUUAAGAUUGAUAGUGAAGAACAAUAAAACUUGAUGAUCAAGAGAGUAAAUAACAAUAAAACUUGAUUGAUGAGUAUAAUAAAUUCAACGCCAAUUGUUUUUCUUGUGUUUUUUUCUUCUUCUAAAAUCAACAUCACACUAACAAAUUGAAUAUUAAAAUAAUCCAUUGAAUAAAAAGUUAUUGAAAAGAAAAAUAUAAAAUUCAAAGUUUUGAUUACCUUAAAGUACAAUCUUUAAGACCAUAUGAUAGUUGGUUUAAACAUUCAAUAGAAAUUGAGAGAAUAGGAAGUUGGUUUAAACAUUCGAUAGAAAUUGGGAGAAUGAGAAGUUGAAAGAAAAAAGAUUGCAAAGAGACUUGAGUUUUAUAACUUUAUAUGCAUUUGGACAGAUGGAUUGAGAGUUUGACAGAUGGAUUGGCAAUACAUUUGAAAAACAAGAAAAAUCUAGUAACUGAAAGGCAACUUCGUGUUUCAAACUCAACACCCAAAGAAAAAUGAAGCCAACAUUUCCACUGCACUAACAAAUGAAUUAUAAUAUUUCUUACUUUUUUUCGUAUUUAUAUGUUAAUUACAGAAUGUAAAAUUUUUUUGGGACCCGUUUGAAGUGGGGGUCCUAAGCGGACAACUUGGGCUACCCUUAAGACCGGCCCUGCAUGCGUUAUAGCAAAUCGAUAGGCUCACAUGGUUUACUGCAUGAACCUUAAUCAGGAAGAAAAAUUGACCACCGUAUAUAUACAAAUCAAAUCUUAUCUCAUUGAUCGUAAUGUAUUUGUCCUUAUACAUGCAUGUGAUGUUGCUGUAAAAAUAAGGGUCUAGUGACUAGUACCGGACCCAGUUAACUUGAUGGAGCGAUACAGGAUUCAUUUGAGGCAAAACAUCAGCUACUUUAUUAGCUUUAUCUAUCUCAUUCUUGUUUUGAUUAAUUAUUAUACAUAUCUAACCAACGGUGGAUGUAUAUUAGGACCAAGGUGGUCUCAAGAUUAUCCGUAGUUAAGAGAAUAUACAUGUGAAGGUUUUCUGUGGUGCCUUUUAAUUUUUGGUGUGGAUUCCUUUUGUGCCUACACCAAGUGUUUGAUAUAGUAUUUGUUAGGCAUAUCUCUGCAUCACUUUACAUGAUUCUCUCGAUAGCACUCAUUAGAUUGCUUCAACAUAUGUCGAUAUAUGCUGACAUAUGCACAACAUAGUUUGGCUGAUGACAAUAAACCCACUAGGUAUUCAACAAAAUGUUUCAGUGAAUAAACUGAAAAAAAUUUGCACACUUCGCGCUCUGUUUCUACUGAAAAACUUAAACCUUUAACAUUAGAAUCUUGAAUGUUCAAAUCUUGGAUCAACCAUUGUAUCUAAUACUUGAACUUAAAAAAAAAAAACACAAGUCAUGUGGUGUAUUAUUACACAUGUUAUCAAAAUAGUGGACGAUAUAUCUGAUAUAUCUUACUUAUAAUGUAUAUUAAUAAAAAUAAAAACCAACCAGAACGUUAUAAUUUAGAUAAUAAUUUUAGCAUCACAUGAUUGUGUUCCGAAUAUAUUGAAAAAUUGCUUUGCAAUGCUCUUUGAUUGUGAGCCGUAUUGCUCUUACUCGAUCCAUGUCCCCCUAUUAUUAAUUCAAAGAGGUGUUGCCAAUUUUUGGGGUCCGCUGGUGGCCUUUGUUGUUCCUCUAUAUUUCUGAAAGUUUUGUAUUAUAUUUAUUGGGUUUUUUUUUUAUGUGGAAAGGACAUUAUGUUUAAACCAAAAGUUCAAUGAUAGCCUACUACACGUCAUGAAUCUUCUUGAAAGUUAUGUGUGUUGCAAGCUACAAAAAUCUGUUAUACAUAUGUGCGAUGUAGACGACGAAUUCAAUAUCAAAUUAGAUCGUUAAUUGUGUGGUUUAACAUAACUCUUCCCUCCCCUUAGUAUUAAAUAUAUCGUUGUACAAACUCUUGGUUACUUUAAACAUCGGUCGUCAAAAUAUUAAACAACCAUUCUGGUUCCAACAAGUCCCAUCUAAAAACAUUGUUUAGCCAAAGAGAAAUGCAAAAGAGGCUCUUUUAAAAGUAAGACUAUCUGUCACCACACAAUUUAACGUUAAUUAUGAUGCCAACAUUAUAAAAUAUUGUGUCAAAAAUAUGAGAUGGCAGAAUUCUUAGAAAGUCCCACUUUUAAAAGAAUCCCCUUAACAUUUCUCUUUGCCGAAACACUAUGGUUCAGAUUCCAUAAAACUUUUUAUAUCAAGUAUCCCACUUGAUUAAGUCAAUUUGUUUGUUGGAGAGGAUCAUGAGUCUCCGACAAAUUAAUCCCUUGAUUUACUCAUUUUUACUCGUCUCCACUAAUUAAUCCAUAGCUUUUGGUAGGUAAUUGGUAUAGUUCUCAACGGUCAAAUUAACUGCUUAAUUUGCAUAUAAAAUAUUUUUGCUCAUCACUUUCAAGUGAUGGUGAUGCUCACCAAAAUUUUGAAAUUUAUGUAGUAGAUGGACAUAAAUCUGCAAAAUUUAAACUCAUUCAACGGUAAUAAAAAUAGUAAUGAAUAUUAUCAUUACUUAAAGGUACGUGGUGAGCAAAAAUAUACCCAAUUUGCAUAUCUCGACAAGUCCACACCGUUCUCUUUUGCCUUUAGCACAAAGUAAUUAAGUUUGAAUCUGCCCCGACAAAUCGUUAAUGAUGUCUAAUUAGUUUAUAUGCACCACCACCUACUUUUAUUUCUUCAUCACGAGUUAAUGCAGUUUACUACUCAUUGCUCGAUCAUCUAAUGCAUUGUGCAUGCAUGCUUGUUCAAGUAAAAUAUUGGAUGGUCACUGCAUGCGGGUAAAUCGUUCAGUACAUUUCACGUACAAAAAGACAAUAUAGAUAAUGCAUUCCUUGCCGACUACUUUCUUGAGAGUGACUUUUAUGACUAAUGUACUGUACUGAUUUCAUGUUCCGAAAAUAAGUGAUUGAUAUGAUUGUAACAUUGCCACGUGAUUCCGUAUUUCAACAAGUCACAAAUUAUAGUAGAAGUGGACGAUAGAUUAAGUGAGGUACGUAGUAGGCAAUGUUCAAUAACGGAAGAGGAGUUGGCAAGAGCACUGAUGAUAGGUUUAUAUUUUAAUAUCAUAGUAUGAAUAAGUCAUGACACCAAGUGACGGUAUUACAGUCCCAUCGAAAAAGUACGAUAUUGUAAUUAGAUCAUCUUAAUUUUCUGCGAAGGUAAGAUCCACGAUCUGUGGAGUCAAAUCGCGGUUAAUGUUAUAUUGUGAUAAACUUGAUAAGAUGCAUGGAGUGCACCGACCUCGAACGCGCAUGCACUUAGACCUUCAACAUCAAUGAUGAUAGUUUUUAAAAUCAGAUUGCUGCAUUUUCAAACUAGGCCCUGGAUUUAUGCCACAGAUUAUUGGCUACUUCCUUCCCUUUUGUAUUUUUGGCACUGUUUACAGACAUGGGAAUGAUUUCUACAAUCUCCCUUUCUCCAUCUGCACAAAUCAAAGUUAAAUCAAUAGAGAAACAAUAGGAGAAGUGCAUACGAGAAAGGAAGAGUGUGGAAAUCGUUAACUAUACAACUGAAAGUUGAAAAAGGCACACAAGCCUGACAUGAAGAAAUUCUACUGUCCGCCCGCUAGACCUUGUCGCCUGUUCAACGACAAACUCAAACAAGUUGGCCACCUUGCAUGUGUUUGUUGUCACACUGCUGGCCGUUUGUGUGGUGGACGGACGUAAGAAUAUCUGCAUGACAUGAAUAUUGAAAACUUGAACUAACUUAGGGUUUUGAACCAUAAGCCAUAAAGAAGGUAACCCAAAAAAUUAUGAACAUGGUACACUGGGUUCACAAGUGAAUAACUGAGGUAAGCCCAAGGAAAAAAAAAAGUUUCAGGCUCACGUUUCAUGCAGACCCAAAUUCUUGAAGGGCUGGUUUUGAAUGUAAGCAUAAUAUAGAGAUGGGCCAGCCCUACUUCAAAAACAACCAAUCGCUUAGUAAAUGAUAUACAUAGAUUUCUGUGGAAUGAUUUGGGAUAUUUCGUACCUUAUAUGUUUUUUAACUCAUUUGUGCCGCAGAGUCUAAUACUAUCUAUUAUUUUAUUUUUUUAAACUACAUACAUAUUUUACAGCGAGGAAUUACACAUAUUCGAAACCGUUUUCAACAACUUUGUUUAAAGGCUCACUCACUCUUGGCGUUCUGAAACAUAGAAAUUGAGCUUGUUGGAGUACGAGAAGAGUUGUGGAACACCUUUGUAAUAAUUCAUAUGUAUCCCAGUAGCAAAUGGGGAACACACAUUAUCUUUGGACUGUGCAGCUGAGGAUCAGGACAAAUCGAAGCAGUCGAAAAUAUUAUCCAUAAAAAAGCUGAAAGAGCAAUUAAUUGAUUAAAACAUAAGCUAGCAAGAGCAGCUGUGUAUUAUUUUUGAAUGAAUCUUAAAAAAAAAAAUAUUUAUGUUUAGUGCUUAUCUUUAUCAAGCUUUGAUCUAAAUCGCAGUGCAUGCGCAGACAGGUGACAGAUCAUCCAUGUCAAUAAUUUUCUUCUUCUUUUUCUGCAGAUUUUAUAAAGUUAUGGAUUGCCUUGCCCUGCCCACUUGAUCAAUCUUCUUUAAUGAUAUUAUCUCAAUUAUUGAAAGUUGUUUAAAUUCAAUUCCUCUUUGAUGUUCUCUUUCUUAGUUUGCUUGGCAAGAUAUUGGCACUAGACAGUGGGUUUUGUUUUCCACCGGUGGUAUAUCUGUUUGUGUAUGUUUGUUUUUUGCGUUGCGUAAAUCAACAGAAGAGCUAUAGAGUCGGAAAUAACUAAGACUUUCACAUCCUCAAAAGUGUGAAUAUAACAAGAAGCUAAGCGUUAUUUUACGUACGAUUGAGUUAUAAAAAAAAAAAUCAUUUUUUUUUAAAAUUGUUUUGUUAUGUAGUCAAUAUUUAAUCAACAAUGUCGUUAAUAUUUAAUAGAUAAUAUCGUUAUUUGAUUUUUGAUCAGUUUGAGUUUGACAAUUGAGAUUCGUAAAAUCCUUACUCCGAACAAUUUCUCAAACUUAAAACUCAAAAUGUUAAGAUUCAUGAAUUUAUCUGACAAGUGUUGUACAUCAAAACCACUCAUAAAAAGGGUCCCAAAUCAUUAGGGUUGAUGAGAACCAUUCAAUUAAACCGGGUCCAUAUCCAAGUGACUCACUAAUUAACAAGGACAUGCAUUGCUUCAUUCAUCACAAAAUCUUGUGAUUGAAAUUAUUGCCUAUGAGAUCGAUUUGGCCUAAACAAACAAAAGCAUGUGCCCCUUGCCGCCAUGCACAGGUACAAACAGUAACUCCGAAAAAUUUUGGAUACACCGAUAAUUCGGAUAUUUUUAAUGGUAAAUGUGAUUUUAAUCCUUGCUUAAGAUUAUAGUUAGAAAAAUGUCUUAUGCAAGAUUAAAUAUUGAUUAUAGUCCUUUGACUAUACAUCCAUGUCAAUAUGUCAGCUUUUAUUUUUUUUGGUGGUCUUAUUGAUUCUAUUUUUCCAACAUUGCCCAUACGUGAUUAUGGACAAUAACAAAUUUUAAAUGCUGAGUUAUGAGUGUGCAAUUAUUACUUAAUAUAUUUUCAAUUUUUGUCCAUUUUAAACACAAAAGUUCAAUUGUAUGAAUCUUUCAUCGUCCUCUUCUAUGGUGUUGUGCAUUUUCACUAAAAUUGUGUACAUGAGUUUUUGUUAGGAUUUGUUGUUUGUUUGUGGAUACUUGAUAUAUUAGUUCAAUUAGAAAUGAGGUACACUAAUUCAACAUGAGUAAAUUGUACAAAUGGUCCCUCAACUUUAAUCAAAUUGGAGCAAUGGUCCCUCAACUAAAAAUCCAUUACCAUUGGUCCCUCAACUUAUCAAAAUGUGUAACUAUAGUCCUUUUCAUCAAUUUUGUCAAAAUUUUUUGUCAAAAUAAGCUAUGUGGGAUGCCAUUUUUAUAUAAUGGGGUAAAUCGCUUCGUAAAAUUCGAGGUCAACUAGUCAAAAAAAGAGUCAAAAAGAGUUAUAUUGGAAGGACAUUGAUAAAUUGAGUUAAAGUAAAAGGAAAAUUUCUCCACUUGAAUUAAAGUUCAGGGAUCAAUGGUAAUCGGUUUUUUAGUUGAGGGACCAUAGUGCCAUUUUUGAUAAGUUGAGGGAUAAAGGUAAUGGAUUUAUAGUUGAGGACCAUGCUCCAAUUUGAUUAAAGUUGAGGACAUUUGUACAAUUUCCUCAAUCCAACAUACGGUACCAUGAUUGAGGUACAUCUCUAAAAUAAUGUUUUUUUAAUUUGCAGUACUUUGUAUUAGGUACCCAUGAAUAGGACAUGCUAUAGAUAUUUGGUAUAGGGUACCAAGUUGGUACAAUUUUUACUUAUUUGGUAAUGAGUAUUCAUUAAAAUUUGAAUUUCUAGAGUUUGUACAUUGUGCUAUGAAAUUUUUUUGAAAUUCUAAUCAUAAUUUUCGUUUUCUUAUUUGUAUGUAACUGAAUCUUUAUUUUAUAGGAGGAAAGAGCCCUCAAAUCAAAUAUUAAUUGUGGGGGUAUUUUAGGAACUAAAAUACACAUAAAGACAUUAAAUCCAAUGAAAUAUGAGUUUUAAUGUUAACUCUGAGGUGAACAUCCAGUCAAGGGACUAAUUUAAAUUUUUUAUCUUGCGUCAGGUUUUUUAUGAAAAGUUGAUUUAUGCCAAGGAUUAAACUCCACUUACCCCUUUUUUUAAACAAUAAUUUAACGAAAAAUGUUUGAAGUAGCAAAUACUCCAAAACAGCUAAGAAAAUUCCAAUUACACCUCUCUCUUUCUCUUACCGAAGCAGGAGUAUGACAGGAUCACUUUUCCUUUUCUAUUCAUAGUCUCAUUACAUCCAAGUAUAUUUUUUAUUUAUAAACUUCUACAGAAAAUACCUUGUAGGUGCUUCUUUGGAAACAAGUCGCUUUUAGUUUGUUUUAAAACAGUUUUCGUUGUUCUAAGAAAGCAAUCCAAAUUAGUGUCUUUUUUACACUCGAUAUAGUGGAGGGAAGGGGGAGAGAAUCAAACACGAAACAUUAAAUACAUAAGUGAAUGCUCUUAACUAUCUGAGCUACCAACAUUUUACAACAAUCCAAAACAGGUUAAAACUUGUCAAAGAUUCAAUAGAGUAUGUAUCUAGAAAGUGUAAUAACUACGAGACCUGAAGAAGAAAAAACCUAGUUAAUUCAAAUGUAUCAAGAUGGCUUGGUUGGUUGCGGUGCUCUCAGAUCUAAUCUUUGCUAUAGACUUUCUCUCAUUUUUAUGUUAUUUUGGCUAUGCGUAACUCUUUGCCGAUCCUUCUUCACUUUAGUUCCUACAUGGUUGCCACUCCGGUGGUUGCUGGUGGGAGUUCGGCGGCGGCAGGCUGCUCCUUCCUAACACAGAUUGGUUUUUUUUCAUUCCAUAUGUCGUGUGUUUCCAAUUUUUAAGCCUUUGUCGAUGUGAAAUUAGGCCUCCCACUAUUUUAUCGUAUGUUUUAAGUUUACUAAAUUUCAACUCUACGAAAAGAAAAAAAUAUUCUAAUGGUAUUAUUACUCGUACAUACCAAGAGAUUGCAGGAUUAUAAUUGUGACUUUCCACUGAGAAAGACAUGAUGCAUAAUUGCAUAUCAUCUUUGUUCUUGCCAUGCCUUGCCCCUUCUUUUUUACUUUCUCCAAUGUCUGACUGCCAACUCGAAAUAUAUUCAAACUGUGAAGUUUAUCAAAAGACCUUCCUUUUAAAGCUUUGUUUUCCUUUUUUUUAUUUUUUAUUUUUUGCAGUGACAGAUCCAUAAAAUUAUGAAUUUACUAUUUCAUCUGAGAAUAUACAGAAGAAGCUGGACUGACUAACUUCAAAUGUUCGAAGAUGGGCAGGACAUUUCUGGAAACCCACUAAUUUACUGCACAUUCAGAAAAAGGGAGCCCUGAAAUAUAUACAAUAACUUUGGGGCACUCAAUGAAUUGUAAAAUGUUGGGCCCUCAGAACUUCACUAUGGAAGGUGAAAAAAGAGUAAACAAUUAAAAAUAUGGACCCUUUUUUCUACUUUGGUUUGCAAAACGAGUGGUUUCAUUAUUGCCAUCUGCUGCACAUUCUUAGGCUUCACAUUCACACCGUCUGCUACAAAUGAAUGUGUCUCCAUUUUAUUAUAAAGUGAGCCUUUGCUUUUUUGUAGGCCUCAACCUUUAAUACCUACUAAAGUAGCGGCGUUAAUGGGUUGCGUUCACGUUUAUCGAUUUGUAUUUGCUUAACCCUGUUAAUUGUGUGCACAUCGAGGAUCUUAUAAUCCUGCGAGUUACGUUUCAAAUAUUUUAGCAUGUCUUUUAACUUGUGAAUUCUGAAUUAUAUAACAUGUCGCGUAUGAAAUUAUCACCCUUCGGAAACACAUGCGAUGGGAAAAGCACGAGUGAGGAAAGCUUGUCUAAAAAGGAGAUAGGAAGGAUAUGAUAUUGAUUGAUAAUAUAAUACUUGCUACUCGAUUAAAGAUUAGAGAAAUUGUUGAGAGAGAUUUGCCAAUAUCUACAACUAGAAGAAAAAUGGUGGAUGCAUAAAGAUUAAUAGGGGAUACACAUAAUUAACACCCAAGAAGGCCAUGCAUGCAUGUUUUUGACCAAAACUCUUCUCAUAUGUGAUGAUUUUGCAGCUGCAACAGCCUUGUAUAAGCUCCGUCGGGGCGGCUCGCUAGCUCCGAAUGGCUGCCGUGCUCAACAAUGCGCCCGUCUUGCACCACGCCGAUGCUGUCCACCCCUCUAAUUGUAGACAACGGUGGGCAACAAGCACGGUGGUGCGGCCCCUCAUUAGCCUCUCGAGUGCUUCUUGCAGCACACAUUCUGACUCGGCAUCAAGUGCACUUGUAGCCUCAUCUAGCAAUAGUAUUCUCGGGUCCUUGAGCACCGCCCGUGCAAUUGCAAUUCUUUGUUUCUGUCCACCGGAGAGCUGAACUCCUCUCUCCCCCACCGGGGUUUUGUAUCCGUCUGGCAACCCGCUAACAAAACCAUGCACGUUGGCAGUACGUGCAGCUUCAAUUACUUCUGCUUCGGUCGCGCCUUCUUUGCCGUAGGCAAUGUUUUCGAAAAUGCUUGAUGCAAACAGGGCUGGUUCUUGUUGCACCAAUCCAAUCUUCAACCUAAGUGACUUCAAGUUCAGUCGGCGAAUGUCUUUGCCAUCGAUCAUUACUUUACCAACCAUCGGAUCAUAAAACCGCUCGAUCAAUGCAAUCACGGAACUCUUUCCUGAACCACUAGCUCCAACAAGUGCUUGGCUUUGGCCAGUGCGGAUUCUGAGACUAAAAUCUUUGAACACCAUGACAUCAGGUCGCGAUGGGUACGCAAAAUCAACAUGCCUAAGUUCAAUUUCUCCGCGAACUGAUUCAACCACCUCAGCCUCAGGAUCAUCCGGAUCAAUCUUUGUUUGACGAUCGAGGAUUGAAAAAACCGAACCAACAGCUUCACCGCCCCUAAUAAUCUCCGGGGCAAGGCUCACGGUUUCAGCAACUGAAUUGGCCGUUACAACAAGGACAACGAAAACCUUAAUAACUUUCGAGAAGGUCGAGACACCUUUGCUAACGAGGUGGGCACCAUACCACAAAAUGAGAGCUUCAGAUGCAUGGAGAGCGAUUGAGAGAGUCCGAAUAGGACGCCAGCAGUUGGCUGCGGCGGAGCUUCCAGCUGUGGGAGACGGAGCUCGUGGAGAAGAGAGAGAGGAUCUUGUUUGGGCAUUGAACGCGGCGACUGUCCGACGAUCUCACUCCUCCCUGCAAUCAUGCUCGUCUUUGCAUGAGCUUUGGCUGUGUCUCCAGCAAAGCCCUUCAAAGAAAGUUGCUGCAUAAUGCAGAAUUGCAGAAUUAAACAGUCAGUAAACUGCAUUAAGUAAAUGAUUAAGAACUAAUAAGGUGCUUUAGUUAAGAGUUUGUUAUGUUAUCUGUUGGAUUGGUGGUUGACAGUUAUUUCUUGAUACAAUUUGGUGGCCUUCAAACGAAAAGUUAAAAUACAUGACAACUCUUACGGCGUUGGAAAGUUUCUCUCCUUCGACCGGUUCAUUACUUGUACAAAACCCCAAAAACAACAAAACAAAGGAAACACACCGCAAAACCAUGUCAUAUCUCAAGUGCAAGUAAGUUUUUCUCUUUUAACACGCUCGGUACUUACUCCAAGCGGACCCUAAGAAAACAACAAAACAAAGGACAAUGACAUAAAUCUAUCAGACAAGGUACGUUCUUAUUUAAUCAGACGGGUCAUUUUCUCACUGUGCAUGUAUCAUGCGCGAAUUUAGAACACUGUUCCCACACAAGACAAAAAAAACGAACACAGGCGCCUCUCUCUGUACGACUACGGUGUGAAAGCGAACCCCUAAAAGCCACCCCAAAGAUUGAAACCCUCUCAUGCACUCCAAAACGACAAGAUUGGCAAAUCAAACGGGGUGUGCACAAUGCGCACAGGGGCCAAGUUACCUUCUUCCCUUUCUGCAGAAAAAGCUCUGGAAAAAAAUAAAAGUAUCCAUAUCUAUCAUAUAAUAUACAAUGUGCUCACGGGAAUGAAGUCUCUCUUGUAACUCUCAUCACAUGGGAGUCUUCAGUGAAUUAUUGUAAGAAAAAAGGAAGAAGUAUAAAGCAUUGUGACAAAUUUUCGGGCCUAUAAAUUCAGACAGUAUAUGCUGUAGCUAUGUGAUGUGCAGCAGCUCGUGGGUUACUAUUUAUAGGAAAUUAGAGAACCAAGACGUCAAAGUAACGGUGUUAUAAAAUUUAUCACAUACUGUCAUGUAUUCAAAUACAUAAUAUUAAAUGAUUAGUUUGAAAUAACGCUGUUAAUUUAGUAAUAUGCAUAGAAAUCGAAUAUAACUGCUAAUGCUAAUUAGCAGCUUGGAAGAAAGGAUGCUUCCAAGGACUCGUUGGUAUUCUAUAUUAUUAUAAUUUUCUGUGAACAGUUUCCAAGACCUAAUGUGCACAAGGCUCGGAAGGAGGCACGUGCAGUGCAGGGGUCUGGUGACACGUAGCAGUAUUCUGUUGUCGUUUCAUGCUAGGAUUGGGGUGAAGUCUAAGAUUCCAUAGAUGUGCAAGUUGAUGAAAUAUCUGACACACAGAUAAAAGUAUUAUGUAGACCACACCCAUAUGCUUCUGCAGGACUUUGGGUCAACCCCAGAUAUCGACAUACGGGAUAGUACCUCAUGUAUUGUUAUAUAAAUAGUGAGAUAUGUGUGUUAAAAAGUUAAUAACUUAAAAAAUAAAAUUUUUCACCACUUAUAUAAAAACACGUAAUGUACCAUCCGUGUUCCCGUCAUAACUAAAAAUUUCUCCAACCCACCAAAGCAAAAAGUUUGCUUUUUUCUCUUUGGGUGCAUAAAGCUAGCAACUUUCAGUGCACGGUUGGCUUGUGAUACCGUCGCCAUGACAUAUAGGUUUAGGUAGUUGAGAGUGUGAAGUGUACCUGAGCAUAGUUGGAAAGCACAAGAAGUGGGAAGGUAGCUAAAAUGAGGAGGGAGACUCUCCAUUCCACUAUGAAGGCAACAAUGAAUGAAGUGAGGAGUGAAGUCAUGUUCUGCAAUAUCACAGAUAUCCUCUCAGAAAUAGCUGAUUUCACAUCAGCAGCAUCCGUUGCCAAUUUAGUUGUUAGAAGGUUGGAGUUGUGCUCCUCCUCAUCGAACCAUCCAACUUCGUUCCUCAAGAUUGCUGAAGAAAAACAAGUACAUUGCGCGAAUCAAAAGACGUAAACUUUAGAACGAAACAGUUGAAUGUGCGGUAAAGAAUUCACAGUGAUUUAACGAGCGGAUAUAAAGACUAGUUGUAUAUACCUGCAAGCAUCAUCCUUCUCACUCUAGUAGUGAGGUUCUCUCCCAUGAUGCUGAAGAAGUAAUGCUGUAUCAAAUACGCAACCACAGCGUAUAGCCCGACUCCAAUGUACAUGAAAACGUAUUCCUUCGUCUUCCUUUCCAUUGAGGCGGGGUUUUUAUAGUAGAAAACCUCAAUCAUGUUGCCCAUUAGAAUAGCAAAUGUUGUACCGAUGAACCCGGAGAGUACUGAUCCUAUAGCGGCCAUGAUUGAAUAGGGCCAUUCGGGAGCGUUUAGCUUCAGAAGCCGGAAGAAAUAGUUCUUAGGAGCUCGAGUUUUCCUGUCAGUUUCAGCAUUUGAAAUCAUCUCUAUCCGCCCAUCAGCACCCGUACUGUACGAAUAGCUCAGGUUCCUUAAGCUGCCAGACCGAAGGCUUAAAGACUUCGUUGACAAUGAGUGGCUUAGACGUGAUGAGCGCGAGCAGCGAGUAGAUGGGUUCCUGAAGUCUCUGUUCCCAACCAUUUCUUGGAAUCGAAUUAGAGAAGCGUAGGCCCCUGCUUUAGCAAUCAGUUCUUCAUGUGUUCCUGUCUCGACAACUUGGCCUUGUUGUAUAACAGCAAUGCUAUCAACAUUUCUAAUGGUGGAAAGGCGAUGCGCCACAACAACGGUUGUUCUUCCGACCAUGAGACGGUCUAGAGCUUCUUGAACAAUGCUCUCCGAGCUUGCAUCAAGGGCGCUGGUUGCUUCGUCAAGUAGGAGGAUCUUCGGGUUUUUCAACAUUGCUCUGGCAAUUGCAAUCCUCUGCUUUUGACCACCAGAGAGUUGAACUCCUCGCUCUCCUACCUGAAUUCACACAAGUUAAAAAUGUUAUAUGCAUUGCGUUUGUACAGAGCCAUACAUUCAGCGAAUAAUCGAUACCAACCUGAGUGUUAUAUCCGCUUGGAAGCAAGGUGAUGAAACUGUGAGCGUUCGCUGAGGAAGCCGCAACUUCAACGUCUUCCAUUGUUGCGUCAGGCUUUCCAUAGAGAAUGUUCUCGAGUAUCGUAGUUGCAAAGAGUGCCGGUUCCUGGUUUACCAGCCCAAUCUGAUCGCGCAACCAUUUCAAUUGCAGCGUUUUUAUGUCCACGCUAUCAAUCAAAACCUGCCCUGCUUACCGAACAAGACAUGUUAGAUACUUGCCUUCAUCAGGCAUCAUAGACUUUCAAAACCAACAUCUCCAAUCACGAAAAGCCUCAAACUUACCCUGGUUAGGAUCGUAGAACCUUUCGAUUAGAGAGACAACAGUGCUCUUCCCUGAACCACUGCCACCAACAACGGCAACCGUCUUUCCGGCUGGAAAGAAGAUCGAAAAAUCUCGGAAGAUAAUAACAUCCGGUCUCGAAGGGUAGCUGAAGGUUACUUCCUUGAAUUCGAUAUUGCCACUAACAUCCGAUAAGCACUUUCCGUCCAAGGGGUCUUGAACUAUGGUUGGCUUUUGCUUAAUUAUCUCCAUCAACUUGUAUCCGGCUGAUUUACCUUUGCUAAAGGCACCGAGGUUCGAAAAUGACUGGCCCAAGCUCCUGUAACAUUCAAGUGUUGUAUUAACAUAACAAGGCUUAUUCAUCCGAAAAGGUAAGUAGAAGAAAAAUGAAAGUAUUCAGCUUAAAAUCUUACAUGCCACCAACAAUGGCGGAGAAAAUGGCGGUGAACGCCUUCCCACCAUCAGUCUGCCCGUUUCGGAUAAACACACCAGCGUACCAGAAAACGAGUGCCCAUGACAUACAAGCAAUGCCGUAGGUACACCCUAGGCCGAGACCUUUGGCCAUUCCGGCCUUGUAACCAAGCUGCAAGGUGUUCUGUAUUGCAUCCGAAUACGAAUUGAGGGCCUUGCUUUCACCAACGUAUGAAUAAACUGUCCGAACUUGCGCAAUGGCCUGUGCACAAAGAAAACCUUACAAAAUUAGGCCAUGAGAAGUUUCUUACGCAAACAGUCACACGUACGUUUGUAUGGAGUUCUAAAAUUUCACCUGAUCAGCCAUUAUCCCUGCAUUGGCAUACGACUGGCGACUUUUGGACGUCAGGCCGGUGAGUGUGUAGGCAUAUAAGCCGCCGGCAAAAGCGAUUCCGGGAAUCACCGCAAUACUCAGCAGCGCCAGCCUCCAUGCUGACACAAACCCUACCACCAGCCCCGCCAGAAACGUUGACAGAUAGUGUAUGAAGUUCCCCACCUAAUUCAAAACAAAAAAAAAAAAAAAAAAAAAAAAAAAAUCCCAUAAAUUAAAUAAAAUAAAUAAAACAGUAUGGAAUCAACUGAACGUCCACCUUUCAAAAUCAAACAUUUAGGGAAAAAACAAAAUCGCCAAAAAAAGCCAAGGGGGCCUCACCGCGCACGUUAAGCCAGCCCUUGCUAACGUGCGCAAUGAUUAGGCAGUGUGCCCCGCAUUGAUGCAUGCCCAACUACCCCACCGCGGAUAAGCCCAUUUACAAAUUCAACACUCCCAAAGACUAGAUUUUGCCGCGUGUAUGGGAGAUGAUUUUCUUCUGCACGAUAUUUAUUUGAGAAUUUUAAUAAAAAGUUAUCGGUAUAUUUUAAUAAAAAAUUAUAUUUUUACAUUAAAAAUUAAUCAUGUUACUAUUUGUAUUAUUUUUUAUUUUGUCUUUAUCGUUAAAACUUAAAAUGAUGCGCGGAAAUCACUUCUCGACGAUAAAAUGACAAAGGAAAUAAAAAGUUUAGAGAGAGAAAGAGGAGAGAGAGAGAGAGGGAGCAAAAUGCAAAUUGCCAAAGAAGGAUACCUUCUCACUGAUGGCAUCUUGGACCAGAAGAGUGUCCGUUGAGAUACUAAAGACAAUGUCUCCAGUUCUAGCGUCGGUGUCGAAGAAGCCGACGUCCUGUUUCAGCACGGCCUCCAGAUACUUCUUCCUCAGCCUGCUCACCUGCCUCUCGCCGGUGUACAUCCAGCAUGCAAUCUCUGUAAAUAAUACUCACAUAAAUUAAUCACCUUUAACCUCAUUAAUCAACGGAUUAACGUUUAAUUAAUGAGAAAAUAGGGGAGGGAACAGUGCACGUGAAGUGAUGCAGGAGUCAUGUGGGACUGGAUUGGACUGGACAGAAGUCCAACAAGUGUGAUCCGAAGACCAGCAAGGACUAAAAUUUAACAAAAAUAUAAUUAAAAAGGUUGGAUUUUGAAGGUUUUUUUACCUGCGUAGGAUGUUACGCAUACUAUGAGACCGAGAUACACAAAGUACAGAGCAUACUGCAAUCAACAACAAACAAUCAGAUCUGGGAUCCAAGAAAUCGCAACGAAAUCUCAAGGAAGGGAAGUGAUUUCCGUACACUCAUUUUUCUCCUAUGCAGUUUAUUUAUUUUGCGCAUUUGGGAGGAGAAAGUUGGUGUGCGGAAAUCGUUUUUCCUUAAAAAUAUGAGAAAUGAACAAAUGGGGUUGCGAACCUUUGCUACUUCUGCGGUCAUUUUCUGCAAAUUCAUUUGGUUUUCGCCGAACCCGUUAACCAUUUCCCCGAACAUGAGGAAGAACACCGGCAUGGAGGAGCCGUGCACGACGGCGCCCAAGCUUCCGAAGAUCAUGAGGAGCCAAUCGUACUUAUCUGCGAAGGAGAAGAGCUGGAAAAAGGGCAGGCUCUGCUCCUUCUUCUUCUCCGCCUCCGGCAAUGUCUUCGCCUCUGCCGCUGGCUCCGCCAUUGCAGCAGCUCAGCUUGUUGAUAAAAACGCACAGCAGAAUAAACCCAGUAAAAAAGAAACAAGCUUUAGAGUGAGAGAUCUAAAGAACCCAUCUUUUUUUUUCUGUCAGUUUUGUUUCAAGAACUGUCAAUGUCGAUUUGUUCUGGGUGAUCAGCCCAACACAGUAUCGUUUGACGGAAAGAAAAUGAAGAGAGAGAGAGAGAGAGAAAGAGUGUGUGAGAGAGGUUGGACCAGUGGUCAAAGGAGGAUGGUGGGAGAAAACGAGGGAUGUAGAGAGAGAGGGGAGUGGGUGGUGGUGGAGUUAUAUAGUAUUUAGUAUACAGAGGUGGUAGGGAGCUUUAACUGCUGCGGUAGUGAAAAUUACUGCAAUUGAGGAAUCUGGUUAACAGUAUUACACUGUGUGUCCUGUUCUGCUCUGCUCGGUACAAUUUUUAGAGGGAGGCAGAUUGUCUGCCCCCAUUUACCAUGUAUUUCCAUUCAUUUUUAUUUAUGCGGUCACGGUUAAAAUACGUUAAUAUUUUAUAUUAAUUUUUUAACUAUGAUCGUACAAAUAGGAAUGAAUGAGAAAGGUAUGGGAAAAAGAGGGCAGACAAUCUGACUCCUUUUCAAAGUUGUGUUUGAUAUUUAAAAUCGAUAAAAAUAAUUUGAGAUUAUUUACCGUUAAUCAUUUUGUGAACAAUUUUCGUUAAAUUAAGAGUAUUUUUAUCAAAUUAAUCUCAAUGUUUGAACAUGUGGUUUUCUUAGUUUAACGAAGAUUUUUUACAAAAUGAUUGAUGGUAGACAAUCUUAUGAACGACUUCUAUUGAUUUUAAAUCUCAUGAAUCAAAAUAAAAAGUUAUACCAAUCUUAAAGACCAUUUUAAGUAAAAAAACAGCUUGAGAAUGUGUCUGGUUAUCGUUCUAGGUCUUUUAUUUGUUUUUUCAUUUAUGCAUAUUUUCUAAUCUUUAUAAUCUCUAAAAUAAACUUUCAAAAGAAAAUAGGAAGCAUGAUAAACAUGAGUUGGUUCAAUCAUGAACAUAACGAUAAUCCAUUCUUUAAAAUAAAAACGAACGUUGGUGCCAUAGUAGAAUUCAUGAAUUUCUCUAUAUGUUUGUUAACUGGUGUGUGAAAAAUAACACUUUAGGCUCAUAAAUAAAUUUAUACCAUAAUCGUGGAAGCAUCCCUUUUGACUUGACAUUGCAUGUGUUUUGCCGUCCUUUUUCUCCCUUCUUGUUCAUAUAAAUCCCUUUCACUUCACACAUUUUUUUUUCCUUGCUAAAGUGAUGAGUUGAUGAGACUUUAUGAGAUGCUAGAAUUUGUUUAGGAAAAACUAAUCUAACUUGACAUUGCAUGUGUUUUGCCGUCCUUUUACUCCCUUCUUGUUCAUAUAAAUCCCUAUCACUUCCCACAUUUUUUUUCCUUGCUAAAGUGACGAGUUGACGAGAUUUUAUGGGAUGCUAGAAUUUGUGUAGGAAAGUCUAAUUUAACUUGACAAAUAAGGCGAUCCCAAACCAACAAAACUCUCUGUUUUGCGAGGACCAGAUAAAAAACGGCUAUCGUAUUGGGUAGCCAUCCCAUUGCAUAAGCUAAAGAGUUUACAUCAAAAUCUUAUGUGUUUGGAAGGAAACCCUCAUCAUGAACAUGCCCUUGAAAUGCAUGUUAUUGUUAUGUGGACAAAGACUUUCCACUCACGUAAUAUACCACCCAGAUCAAUUUCUAUUUAUCUCUCUUAGUGUGAAUUGUAAAUCACGCAAACAUAUAGAUAUAAAUUGAGUUUGACAACAAUCGAUGUAACAAGUAAGUUUUUUUUCUGCAUUAGGCGACCCCAUAAAAAAAAGGCUAUAGUGCAUAAAGUAUUAUUUAUUAAGAUAAGGAUUACAUUUACAGGGUAUUACAUGGACCCAUUUUCUUGUGCCCUCCAUUAUCAUGCAUUUGGCCUUGGAAAUCAUGAUUAAGUUGGUGGUCUUAAAAAUAAAAAAACUAAAAUCUUUUGUCUGCUGCAGUAAGGUGGUACAAUUGGAGUUGACAUCCUAGUCAGAUCUCUGUGUCCUGAGUCGACAGAUUUAUAAAUCUUGACCAUUCAAAAAAGAAAGAAAGAUUCGGACCGUUAAAGGGUUUGAAGUUGUCAAUGAGAUUAACUAAUAGAAGCUACAUGAUUUAAAUUGAAUGGUUUGAAUUUCUGUUUUGUUAGCUUAGAAGACACAGAAAUCCGAAGAGAAUCUCAAUCCGUACAAUUGGAUAGUUUCCAUGUUAGGAAUGGGUGAGUUGGCAAAUCCAAGACUCCAACAAAGUGAUCAAAUAAAAGUGUGAAACUUUAGUUUCCAUGAACUAUCUAUAUCUUCUUUAACACAUCUCCAUUGUCCAUUACCUCAAUUAGUAUCAAAUGUUAUGUCAAAUGUCACAUUUUUGUAGUUAUGGUAAGUUACAUUUGAUAGAGUACUUUUGUAUCCCUACCCUAACACGAAAAGACAUCCACCCAAAAAUCUGCCUAUAAUUUGGGCUCACCAACAUUUUCUUGCUAUAAAAAGGGUUUGCAUUUGGGUCAACAAAAUAAGGGCUCAACCACUUGACACACCCUGAAAAAAAUGGGCUCAACCAAAAAGUUCUCGCUGGGUAUGUGUUUUUUUUUUUUUUUUUUUUUUUUGUAAGCGAAGAAAAAUUAAGCGAGAUUAGUUUUUUUGCAAUAGUCACGUGCGAGUCAUAUAUCCUCCCCCGAAGGGUUGAUGACCAUUACACUAAAAAACUAGCAUCUUCUUGGAAAGCUGUUGGCAAAACUUUUCAUAAACACAGUUCAAUGAAAAGUUACAACUAAUCAAUGUUGUCGCAUAUAAAACAUCAAACUUUCUUCAUAAUCUUGAUGUUAUUUAGGAACUAAUGAUCUGUCAUCCUUCAAAAGACCUAACCCAUGAGUGUUUCACUAAAUCUCAAAAUUGGAAUGUUGCUUUUUAAUCAAUAUUUGAUCACAAUCAUUUUUUUCUUCAAAUAAAGAAGGAUUAGACGAGAUUAGCUUUUCGACAAUGGUCGAAUGUGAGGCACCUACCCUCCCUCAAAGGAAUAAGGACCAUUACACCCAAUAAUCCACCGCCCGUCCCUCCUUGACCAAACUUAUUGAUAAUAAAUAUAAAUAAACAAAAAAGAUACAAGUAGAGGGACUAUGUCAAGACCCGCAAAGACAAAAACGAACAACGAAAACACCAAAUAAGGACAAAACAAAAUGUCAUGGGCAUGGAUAGAGGCUACAAAAUCUGGAACCCUAGACCACCAGUAAUAAUCAUAACUAUCCCCCCCCCCAAAAAAAAGGUAAAUCAUAUGCGACCGAUUUCUUUCUCUAUAACUAUGUUUACACAUAAAUCUCAUUUGUCGAAGUCGUCAGAGACAAUUCUUCAAAUCCACCAUAAUAAACUACAGGACCGCAUUAAGAGCCCUAUAUUAUUACAUCAAAAGUUAUAGUUUGAUACAUAUAAAAAAACUUUUUCUCCUAGGUUUACAAUAAGUUACUUAUAAAUGCAUGUCAACUUGUGUUUGACAAGAUAAAUUGUAAGGAGCUAAUCAGUAUUCGACUGAAUUGACUCUAAAAAGUUAAUAAGAUUAGUCAUUUCAUGUGACAGGCAAAUAAUGUAAUUCGUCCCCCCCCUUUAAGCCUACCCCAAUGGGUCUAGAAAACUUUGGUUAAGAUGUUGGAAGAAGCUAUAUAAAACUAAAGACAUAGCCCCUAAGUGUUCUUAAGCCCUAUAAGUUGAAGUGGCUUUGGCCGCAAUGUAUGUCCUUUUGGGGACACUAGAUCCGUUUUGGUGAACUACCCUUGUCCUAGUUUAUGUUUUGCUAACCCUAAGCAUGUGACAUGCUUCUCAAAUUAGGGCUUUAUUCAUAUUUUAUAGUGCUAAUUAAACUUUAAACAUCAUUAAACAUUUUUUAUAAUUUAAUUUUCUGGCCAGCAAGCGAAAGUAGAAGCUGCCUGGAAAAUUAGGACCAACUUGGAGGCAAGAGUGUAUAAUCUGUAUGCUUGGACCACAUUUUUGGAGUCUGUGCUAGUUCAGCGGCGCAGAAAUUAAUUAAGAAUAAUUAAGUAUUUGAUUUGAUCUGUCACUACUUGGUGUUUUUGGAUAAGGAUUGUUUGUCCUCCUUGUUCCCGUGCUCUCUCAUGUCUUUCUAUUUGUGUGGUCACGAUUAAGUCACGUCAACAUUUUAUGUUACUAUUUAUUUUCGUCUUAUUAUCUCUAUAAAAAAAAAUAUAAAAUGUUGGCGUAGCUUAACCGUGACCACACAAAACAGGAGGGCAAGGGAUGGCACGGGAACAAGGAGGGCAGACAAUCCUUGUCCGGUGUUUUUUGCUUUAAUUUGGUUGAUUGCCUCCUUGCAGGCUUUCUCUGUAUCCUAUUGGCAUCUUUGCCCUGAUAUUGAAGUAUUAGUUCUCCAAAAAAAAAAAAAAAUAUAUAUAUAUAUAUAUAUAGAUGCUCCGGUUAAAAGAUUCAACAAUGAAAAUAAGGUUAAGAGAAAAACGGACAGAAGAAGACCUAAGAGAACUUGGAAAUAGACUUUUUAAUAAAUAAAAAUAUGGAAUAUUUUGAGGCUUGGAGCUAAUGAAAGACUUGUCACAAAAUUGUGCACACUGACGUUCUAAAAUUAUAGAACCUAUCAUAUUUAAUGAGAUAAAACUUGAUUGUUGUUGUUGGGCUCUAUUUAUAUGAGCCAGUGAAAUGUGAUUUGAAGGCACCUUUAUGUUCAAUAUCAAAAUGAAUACCUGAAAAUCAUGGAAAAAUGAAUUGAAAUCUCAUCGGCACCACACCACACUUUGGGGACCCUCAAAUUGUCGCAAUCUGAGUUAUUAUACCUUUAAUUUAUUUAUUUUUAUAUAUUCAUACUUUACAAUUGAGAAAUUUUUGAAUCCGACAACGGAAUUAGGUCAGCUAACGUUACAUACCUUGUAUCUUUUAAUUAGUAGAGUAAGAAACUCAAAGUCGAGGGAGAUACAUGGAGCAACUGAGUCAUUCAGUGCGCAUACCUCCGCACAAAUAGAUGUAUAUAAUCAUGCCAAACCCUACAUAUUUUCCACUCCUAUGUUCAAAAAGAUGCAAUAGGUACAUAUAGACUCAUAGUUACUAAAAGAAGAUAAAUGCUUGGGAUACUCAAGAAUGAGUAGAAACUCCUACUCGAAACUUUUUGUUAUCGAAUCACUUAGUUUUGUGUUUAUGAUCAGAACCGUUCAUAUUAUGAAUCACAUUGCAAAAAUCAUCUCUACAAAACUUGAUUAAAACUAAUAUCGUUUAACCAAUAUAUUGUAGCAAAUACAUAGACGGUUUGUAAUACUUUUACCAAUUCCAUUCAUCUGCUUUUAUACAGUUCUAUGACUAAACGACUGUACUUGUAAUUGAUUUUUUUUUAGAGUCGGUCUUUAUAAUAUGAACAGUUUUUAUCAUAAACACGAAGUUCUAUCAAUCGGCAACAACGAACAAUUUUGAGUAAAAACUCAUUUUCGUUAAUUCUUUGAGCAUCCAAGUAUUUUUCUCAAAAGAAAGACAAGCAUGGGCUCUCAAAGUUGCAAACUUUCUGUAAAGUUCAAGAGCAUGGUUUAUGCCAACGCAUGUCUGUAAAGUAGAUACGAAACUGUUUAGGAUUAAACAUUGCAUGUGUAUGAAAUAGCAGAAAGAUAAGAGAUGUGUCAAAUGGAAAUUGGAAUCUAAUAAUUUUACUUAAGGACUUUUAAACAAGGUGUUAAUCAUUGUUAGUUGUGGGAGGAUGCUCAUUUGGCCGCAAAGUGAAGAACAAGCUGAGGUUGGGAUGGCGUUACAUUUACAAAAGGAAAUGCCCAUCUUCUUCAAAUGAUGGUCUCUGGCAUGUGUAUCUCAGUUGAACUCCAUACCGGCUUUUGGUUUUUAGGAGAAUCCAAGAAAUAGCUAGGCUAGGAGGAAUUCACAAAUAUAAAGUUAUAUCAAUGAUGAAUCCACUUUUCUCAUUAUGCAUUCUCGAGUAACCCUGAAGUUGGUGUACACUACAUAGAAUAGAACAAUUCAUGAAACAAUUAAAUCAAGAUUGACAUAGCCAGCGAAGGAUCAAACUUCGAGAGUUGUCCUUGUAACCAAAAUUCACUAGCGUCAUGGCAAAUGCCCUUUCCAUGGUGGUGUGGGAACCGAAUGGAAAUGAACUUUUGGGUGACUGUUGUUAUGACAUUUCCUAAUUGCCAAAGGUUCGACCUAAGCCUAGUUUGUGUCAUAGCAAUCUGGAUUGUACGAGAAAUUUGAACUCGAAUUUAAGGAAGCGGACACACUGCCAUGAUUAACUAACCUUCUGUCUAAGAUUAGGCAUUUCGAUUAUUGAAUGGUUCGACAUAAAUGGGCACAGGAGCCGAAACCCAAAUAGCCCAUGAGCAUGAUAGGCCCAUUUGUAGCUGGAUAACUGAAACUCAAACUAAAACCUGUACAAAGGUGAGCCCAGCCCAAUAUAACUAUUCGAUUCUCGCGCUUCACAAUUCAAAUUUCAAAUCCACACCCCCCAAAAUAUAGAACUAACGGUCAUGAAUAGCUGGAUCCCACCAAAACCUCUCUUCAAAAUUUGAACCCACCCGAAAUUCUCGGCAUCAAUGCCGUUAUAAAUUCCCAAAUCUCACCCUUCUCACAAAUUCAAAUCCUCAAAUUUCGAACUCCCUCUCUUUCUCUGCAGAUCUCGCCCUCUCCUCUCACGCAAACAAAGAUCCCAAAGAAAUCAACUGAAAAAUGAGAGAGUGCAUCUCCAUCCACAUCGGCCAGGCCGGAAUCCAAGUCGGAAACGCCUGCUGGGAGCUCUACUGCCUCGAACACGGCAUCCAGGUCUGUUCCCUUACGAUUUCUUCCCCAAUUUCGUUUCCAGGGUUUUGUUUAUCUCUGUCGUAAAUUUGAUUUGGGAAUUUUUUUGUUGCAGCCUGAUGGCCAAAUGCCGAGUGACAAGACCGUCGGUGGCGGAGACGACGCCUUCAACACUUUCUUCAGCGAAACCGGAGCCGGAAAGCACGUUCCCCGUGCUGUGUUCUUGGAUCUUGAGCCUACCGUCAUCGAUGAGGUCAGGACCGGCACUUACCGCCAGCUAUUCCACCCGGAGCAGCUCAUCAGCGGCAAGGAAGACGCCGCUAAUAACUUCGCCAGAGGCCACUACACAAGUAAGAAACUUUCUCACUACCCCAAUUUCAAAUUUCAAAUACCAAAAUACGUAAUCAUCUUUCCGUUGAUUCCCGUUUGAUUUAUUGUGUUCGUAUUUGAACAGUUGGGAAGGAGAUUGUGGAUCUCUGCCUUGAUCGAAUCCGAAAGCUUGCCGACAACUGCACUGGUCUUCAAGGGUUCCUGGUGUUCCACGCUGUAGGAGGUGGGACUGGCUCUGGCCUCGGCUCUCUGCUCCUGGAGAGGCUCUCUGUCGAUUACGGAAAGAAAUCUAAGCUGGGGUUCACAGUCUACCCGUCUCCUCAGGUCUCAACCUCUGUCGUUGAGCCGUACAACAGUGUGCUGUCCACUCACUCCCUCUUGGAGCACACUGAUGUGUCGGUUCUCCUCGACAAUGAAGCCAUCUACGACAUCUGCCGCAGGUCUCUUGACAUCGAAAGACCCACUUACACCAACCUCAACCGGCUGGUCUCUCAGGUAAAACUGAUUGAAACUCUCGUUGUGCACUGAAGGUGUUUGAUAAUUUGCCUGUGUGCACUCUUACUGAUUGACAGUUUGUUUCCUGUGGAUUUCUUGCUAAUGUGGAUGAGAAAUUGUGUGUUCUGUGCAGGUUAUUUCCUCACUCACUGCUUCUCUGCGUUUUGACGGGGCGCUCAAUGUGGACGUGACGGAGUUCCAGACCAAUUUGGUCCCCUACCCAAGAAUCCACUUCAUGCUUUCGUCUUAUGCACCUGUGAUCUCCGCUGAGAAGGCCUACCAUGAGCAGCUCUCCGUGGCAGAAAUCACCAACAGCGCCUUUGAGCCGGCGUCUAUGAUGGCUAAAUGUGACCCAAGGCACGGGAAGUACAUGGCCUGCUGUUUGAUGUACAGAGGAGAUGUGGUUCCGAAAGAUGUCAAUGCUGCCGUGGCCACCAUCAAGACCAAGAGGACUAUUCAAUUUGUGGAUUGGUGCCCGACUGGGUUCAAGUGCGGCAUCAACUACCAGCCUCCUACUGUUGUUCCUGGUGGCGACUUGGCCAAAGUUCAGAGGGCUGUGUGCAUGAUUUCCAACUCUACUAGUGUUGCCGAAGUGUUUUCGAGGAUUGAUCACAAGUUUGAUCUCAUGUACGCCAAGCGUGCUUUCGUGCAUUGGUAUGUUGGCGAGGGCAUGGAGGAAGGAGAGUUUUCUGAGGCUCGGGAGGACUUGGCGGCGCUAGAGAAGGACUAUGAGGAAGUUGGGCUUGAGUCUGCUGAAGGUGAUGAUGGUGAAGAUGAUGAGUAUUAGUUUGUUGUUGGUUUAGGCUAAAUAGCUGUUAAUGGGUUCCUGCCAAUGGACUCAUUGGUUUAUUGUUUCUCUUGUUGAAGUUUAGUAGUAUUAAUGGAUGCCUUCUUUUGUCACAACUUGGUCUCGUGGUGAUGAUAUUCGGCUUACUUUAAAGUCCAAAUCCUGAAGCACUUUUGCUACAAGUGUUCUUAACAGAAAAUCUGAAGAUCUAAUUAAAGUCCAAAUGCUUUUCAAAGUGUUUCCUCUACAAUACAACUAUAGUCGGAAUCACUUUUAAUUGUCUGAAAUCGCUUUUGGCCCUUCAUAAGCAGCUCCCGGGAAAGCGGAGAUGUGAUUUUUGUUUAACUGUACAGCAACGUUUGCAGAUCAAUCGAUUACAAUUUUAUCCUAGAAGAAAACAAAAAAUACAAAGAUGGAAAUUAAUUCUAACGCUUCAUUUGUCUUCCCGGAAUUUUUCAUUGCUGCUCUUGACCUGAAAGCUACCUGUUCUUUUUUUUGUUUUUUUUGAACAAUGAAAGCUACCUGUUCUUCUUCCUAAAUAAAAACAAUGAAAAAGCCCAUUAAGAUCCAAAUAAAGAAUAUGGGCCAGGCCCAAUAACAGGCACGGAGCUGAAAGCCUGAAAAGUUACGUUAUGAAGACAUUUUCGCGCGAAUACGAGUGAUAAAUGGAGGGAAAGCGCAAUAGUCGAAGAAAAUGAAAGAAAAGGAAAAAGUUUGAAACCGCCGUUUGGAUGCCGAGAAAAUUUCUUAAUCUCACAACAACUAAUAUUGAUCUUAACAGAAAUUCAGAACUUUCUUUGAUCAGAUUAGAGGAUUUCGAAAAAUAAUUAUUUACUUCUGAAAUGAAAAUCCACAUUUCUGAGAAAGUUAAAAAAACAAUCCCGUUUGAGGUCCACGAAUUUUCCGAGCAUCCAAACAGCAGCUAAAUUUUCCGAGCAUCCAAAUAACAGGAAUGGUCAAAACCUCAAAAGUUCAAACAAACAAUCAAAGCCACAUCCAAUAAUUGCAAAUCAAGAUUUGAAAACAAUCAAGAUCGCCAGCGAUUCCAGAAAUCGGUCAGAAUUCAUGGUCUCCAAUUCUCUCUUACUAACGAAAUCAAAGAAACUAACGCAACAAAUUAAUCAAUCAAUUUCAGAAAAAUAGAGGAAAGAAUUAACAAACCUGAACAUCAUUAGCAAAGUUAUUAGUGCAGAUUAACCGUUGAUUGUGUUCUUGAGAGGCGAGGAAGGCAAGAUUGGCCGGGCGAAUAGAACGACGUCAAUGCCGUGAUAAUCUUUUCCAGAUGCAGCGGCAGCACCGAUCAGAGCCGUACUCUCGCCGAGAUGCGAGUCCUCCUCUCUGAUCCUCAAGAUCUGGCUGUGCAGCACGCACCCCGUCUUCUUCGUCUUCCCCCUCCGCCAUCGCCCCACCGACCUCGGCGACUCCAUCUCUUCCGACGAUCCCGCGCUGUCCUCAUCCCGGUCCUCCGUACACGCCUUCUUCUCCUUCGACGAUACGGACAGCAUGCUCCGCCGGACCUCCUCCGGAAUCUCGCUCUGGUUCCGGUUCUCCUCCUCCGGCUUGUAACGCAGUGUCAUCAUGUUGGUUGAAACGGCUCGGAUUGCGCAGUGGCGAGAGCUCUGGCUCGGGAUCUGCGUUUUUAUAGCCUUCAUUGCGGGUGGAAACUUAUGGGAGCGCGACACGUGGAGAAUGAUGAGAGAGAAACGAUGGUGUCCACGUGGUGGACUGAUGGGACUUGUGGUUGUUAUAAACUCCCCGACUCGGAAGCCGCUCUAACGGUUUUUUCAGCUGCAGUCAUGUGGAUUAGGAGGACGAGGCCGUUCCCCGUUUUGUGAGGAAAUCACUUGGUGAUUUGGUUUACACUUAUCCAAAUCCCAUUGUGACGGUUUUUUAAAUCAAAGAGAAGGUUCGAACAUGACAAUUAACUUGUAAUUUUACUUUAAUGUCUUUAUUUUUUAGAGCGAGAAGAAUUUGACUAGAUUAGUUAGGUUGCUUAGUUCUAUCUUUUUUUCUUGUUCGCACAUAAAUUAUCUAGUAGUUUGGUUGAUUAUGUCUCACAUUGAUGUAUCAUGACAUUGAGGAAGCUUGUUAUAUGGUGACAUGCCACGACUAUUCAUCAUUCUGUGGACCAGAAAAACUUACAAAGAAAUCUUGUUAUUGCAUAGCCGCAAUAACGAAAAACAAACUUACACCUUCUAGACUCGUAGUACAUAUCAUUGCAACAUGACACGUGUUUGAUUUAGAACAGUGCCACACAACACCCACACAGAAGAUUUUAUAGGAUAAUUAAUCACACUAAGAGUCAACAUUAGGAUUAAGUGGUGUGGACAUGGCAGUGGAUUAAUAGCCAAGUAUUUAACUAGGGGGAUUUAAUGGGACAAGUGGCAUGCAUGGGAUUUGAAGGGUGUUAUUGAUUCAAAUUGAAAACUUUAAGAGCUUAUUUGGUAAAUUAGUUGGAAUAGAUUAUGAUCAAUUAAAAUAUAUUUGAGUCCAGUCUCUUGUUUAUUGUGUCAAAAUAUGAGAUGGAUAGAACUAGACGUGAUGAGUUGUGAUCAACAUAUCCCUACCAAUUCAAUCUUAUCCCAAAGACCCAAUCCGUCCAGCCCACCAAACAGGCACUCAAAGCAUGGCCACCCAAGACGAUUAAAAUAGAAACGUGGUCAAGUGUGUAAUUGCAAUAAGAUUACGACCAUACUGAACAUGGGACACGUAGUGAAUUUGAUAUCUCAAAUGCAAACCGUGAUACCUUUGGAUUCUGAAUACAUGCACGAGAGAGAUGGAAACCCGACUCCAUACCUACAAACGCCAUCUCUCACCAUAUUGAUCGACAUCAAUAACGUGGUUAGAUUUAGAUUGUAUAUUUUGAUUUCAUGUGUUAGUAAACGUAUUACUGGUUCUAAUUGAUCGGAUCCCCGAUGAUAUAGUAAACGACUGAAACUCAAGAAUUCGAACGAGGGAAAUAAUUUACACACCCGUUUAUCCUUUUCUACAACAACACAACACAACAAAACCUUUUCCUACUAAGAAUGAUCGAGACCCGUUUACACACCCGUUUAUCCAAGUAAAUUUAUGACCCUUGAAUAGAACGAAACUAAAAAGAAUCAAGAGACAAAAAUAAAACGUAAAAAGACUCAAAAGAAAGUGCCCAAAGCUUCCGCAAGGUAACGCAAAAUUCAUUACUUAAAAGAGUAUUUAAAGCAAAAAAUUUGAGUUCUAGUCGCAACAAAGCAAGAAACGCUUAGUAACAUCCACUACAAUACGGACUGUAAAGUCGGCAAAAGAAACUAACGAUAAAAUUACGGCUCAUGAUAUCAAAACGGUUCUAAAUUGAGAGGCCUCCACUUCAUUCUUC